rnacentral:lncRNA from 1 species
UAAUUUGAGCUCAACCUUGCAGGUUGCAAAUCUGUUAUUCAGGAGCUCACUCGAAUUAAAGAGGCCCCAGUUUUGUGGUUGUGAAAAAAGUGUUUUUGCAAUACAAGCUAUAAAACAUUGCAAUACUUGUGUUGAUUUUCUUUUUUUCUUUCUUUCUUGUUUCUUCUUUACUUGUAGAAUUUCUAAAUAAAUGCAGUUCACUGUUUUGCAUACUUUAUAAUUUAUACCCAAUUUUGUUAAUUAUACGCAGUAUUAUUUGAUUUUUUUUUGGUCCCUUUUGAAGAGAUUUUCUGUCUUAAUAGAGGACAUGGCUCAAGCAGUCAAGAGCAUGGAUUUUCAGCUAGGACUUAAGGCAAGUGGAUAUUAUUUUAGUUAGUGAAUUUUCCAAAUGUAUUUGCUUCUUUUCCAUGUUUGUGUCACAUUUUGCUCACACUUGAUUCAUAGCGAGUGUGGCUCAAUUAUUCAAUUGAGAAAUGGGCAACUUUCAAUAGAUUUUCAGAAAACUACUAAAUAAAUAAAUAACAAAAGUCACAUUGAUAGGUGAUUUUUCCAAACCACUUUACUUUCAUAAGUAGUUGUUUUUUAUGAAGAUUUUCUUCAUCAUGUAUAUAUGGUGCAAUUUGAGAUUUUGAGUUAUCAGAGAUGUAUGAUAAUUAUAUGAUAUAUGAUAAUUACAUGGUAAUUCUCUAAAAUGACUACAAUCUUUGUUAUUUCAUGUGAUACUUUAGUUUCAUUGUGAAGAAAAGUCUCAUAAAGACAAAUUUGUGAUGUAAUUGUUGUUUUACAUCCUUUCAUGUAACCAAAAGAAGAGAAGUUGCAUGCUGCAUAAUUUGAGAGCAAAUCAUAUAUUUGAGCUUAUUUAUCUUAUUUUCAGUUUAUGUACUAUAGAAGCUGAAAGUUUUGUCCUGUCUCAUGUUUUAGCCUGUGGAGGAUAUGCUGUUGUUUCAGUAUCUUGUCAGUGUUCUUGAAGCAGAUUUCAUACAUCGUCAUACUUUGUAUAAAGGUAAAAGAUCUUCCAUCUUAUUCAAUUUCUAACUUUCUUUAAUUGGCCUUUGUUUUGUUUUUUUUGGACAGAAUCAUUGAACUGGGUCUUGUUCAGGGAAUCUAUGCUUAAUACGCUUUUGGUAUGUUACUUCUCUUCCGAAAAUUGUAGGUGCAUUCUUUAUUUUGUUUUCUGUGGCUAUCAAUAUUCCAUGUCACCUGGUAGAAUGAACAAUAAUAGCUUUUGGAUUUUAUGCAAAUUUUUUAUGGUUUGCCUUUCCCUAUUGAAUGUCUGGACGGUCGGUAUUCAUGACUUACUGUAGUAUCUGGGAUGGAACUUAUCCAGUUGAAAAUGACUGGCAGGGAUCACGCAAGUUGAAUUUUAAAAGCUUAGUCAGGGAUUUCAUGUCGCUUCUACUUAACCAGUGCCAGCAUCAUGUCAGAAACAGCUUGCCAGAUACUGUGGGCAGUUGUGCUAUAUCAUCUCAUGAUUCUGCUUUCUCUCUAGCAAUUGCAUUUCCUGAGCUAGAGAGAAGAACCUGUAGUGCUGUGCAAAAGCUUUUGACAUUGGUAAGAAUUGUCAGUAUUCUUUUAUGAUUUAUUUUUUACUACAAAUUCGAAAGUUAAGCUUGUAUUUAUUAGGUUAUGGAGAUUGAUGUGAUUAAAAAAGAAGCAGACUUGCUAGGAGUUACUUCAAGAAUUGAUGGCUUCAGGUGACAUUUUCUUGAAUUUCAAUUGAACUGUGCUGCUUUUCGUAAAUUGCUGAUUUUCUUGUGUUGAUCUCUUGCCCUUUGGUACAGGAUCCCUAUUUUAGAGAUCAUCUUGGAUGAACUUACAUACAAUCUAAAUCAUGUAUCAUCAUUUCUUGCGGUAGUAACUCGAUUUUCAUACAUUAUUAUUACCUGUUUUUCAUUUAGAGGUGAUUUUAGUUGUUGCUUUUUAUGCUAAUUUCUGACCUUGCAAAUUGAUUGGUCAUGCCUUUUCUCUUUUUUUUCAAGUAUACAGUAUACUUGGUCAUAACUGGUUACUAGUAAAUGUUUUAUUUAAGAACCAACAACAACUUUAUAUGGUUUUUCUUUUUGGUUGAAAACCAAGUAUUUUGUUCAUUAUUAUGCAUACACUUUAGUGCCCAUUGUUUUAAGAAUGCCUAGGUGAGAAUUUGAGAGGUCAAAAUCUAUCAAAAAUGUAAGAGGACAGUCGUCCCCCCUCCGGCCCCCCUCCUCUCUUUCUCUCUCUCUUUCUCUCUCUCUCUCUGUCUCAUAUGAUUGGCUUUAGAACUCAUUCUCAAAUGUCUUGGGUCAUAACACCAGGAUAACAUGGUAUGUUAUGGUAUUAGGAGGCGGCUCUUCUUCAUACUUCGUAGUAUUGAUACAUUUAAUCCAUAAGCAUCUGGGAGCUAAAUCUUCAACAAAAUAGUUCCAAACUUCUUGAAACAAUGGGUUUAAUCAUGAAAGUGAUUUUUGCUCUUCAAGUGGAAAUGAUGGGGCAGAACCUCGAAUAAUCGAUUUUCAUGUUGCAAGCAUGGCAAAUGAAAUGAUCAUCUCUUUUUAAUUCCUCAUUUAUUAUACUUUUGUUUAUCUGAUGCAUCUUAAUGUUGUAUUUGUAAUGUAAUGAAUCUUCAUUUCUAUGGAUUAUCCCAUUAACAUUCGACUGAUGGUGCAUUGUAGGUCUUCUCUGAACCUAAAUGGAAGUUGGAGAUUGUUUUGCAGUACUUCUCAAAGUAUUGUAUGAAGGUGUGCGGCUACAUAUCAUUACAAAGUUACUUUGAUAUUCGAAUCAUAACAUACCAGUAAAGUGGAGAAAUGAAAAAGACAAUUUAGCAGGGAGUAUUUUUGCUUUUGAAAAGACAUAAGAAACCAAGUUUGAGAACUAGAAGUGCAAACCACAUAAUAAUUGGAUAGGAUUUGUGUAAUUCACCCUUCGUGUAGGUGUCAAUGCAGGAAGGUUUAAUUGUGGCUGUACACUCAAGUUAGUAUAUUUUAGUUAGUACAUACGAAAAUUUCUGAACUGCUGAUUAUCUCUCUUUCUCAUGCCUAUGUAUUUAUGUACAGAGAACAGUCUUUCACGAAGUAUUGAUCUAUAAUGAUAAUGGACAGAAACUUAUGGCAACUUUAUUUGCUUUAAUAUUGUAGUCUUCUGUUCGAACUCGAAGGUCAAAUGAUACAGCCAAUGAUUUGACAUUGGAGAGUGUCAUGAAUUUCUUUUCAACCCCCACAGCUACCAAAAAUAUUGCCAAAAAAGUUACUUCAGAAGUGGCUCUUCUGCUCCUAGCACAUGCCUUUCAGGUAAGUUUUGUCAAUUAGUCUCAAUAUAUUGUUUUCUCUCUUGUUGAUUGUUACACCAAGCAUUUUUAUCUGCGGAAGAUCUAAUGUCUUGCUAUCCUUAAAUCCGUACUGACAAAUCUGUUCUUUCAGGUCUGUGUCUCCCAACAAGUUGAUAUGAAUUUUAGUGGCUAUGCAAGUGAAAAGAUUGGAGGCACGGUUUCACAGAUUUCCAGCAAGUUUAUUUCUGCUUUUCACAAUCUCAGAGAAGUUGACGAGUAGGUCUAUAAGCAUUACUUCUAACUAUUUUGUGCACUUUGCAUUCUAGUAAGUACUAUUUCUUAAACCCUAUAAAUAUACAAUAGAAUAAUUUGGUCAAGUUAUUCUAAACCUCUGAUACAGCAAAACAUAAUCAUGCUAAAGAAAUAUGCCUUUUCCAUGAUGCCAAGUACCUAAUCCUGAUAUGAAAUUUUAACUAAUUAUGAGAUCCUUUAUAGACAGCUCUUUCUAAUCAAGAUAAUUCAUGGUUGCAACCUUUCGCCCUUUUUUAUCUGUAGUUAAUACAUCAAAUUGCUAGUUCUGCUGUCUUUCUGUUUUCUGGUCUGAAUAUCUUCCAUAAGAAGAAUCUAAUUAAGUUGUCUAAACAAGUUAUACAUUUGAUUGCUUCAAUAACUAGGAAAUAGAGUUGAUAGAGUCUUUGUGAAGAAAUGAUGCGAGUAUUCCAAUUGACAGCACUGAUUGAAUUUCGUGUGAUCAGAACAUUCUGAUGAAGGAACUGACAACCAGAGUAAUUUCCUCAUACUUUAUGUUAUUAAUUGCCGUGCAGGGAUUUGGAGAUUACACCUUUCGAGAAAGAAGCGCUUUUUACUGCUGCAACAAUUUUGUUGCAAGAACCAGAAAAUUAAUGACGAUGGAAGCGUGAUUUCCAUCAAACUAAAUUAUCCAGGUCAAGUUUUGCGCAACAGCAAAGGGCUUCAAGUCUUUGGUCUGCUUUACUAUUGAUGAGGAUGAGUUCCAUUUUCUCACUAGCUUUUCUGUAUAUACUAGCUUACAAAGUGAAGUGGUUCCAAUUGCUAUCAAAGAUUUGGAACCUUUUUACUUAACUCCCUUUCUUUCUCUUUUUUCUCUCUUUGGGGAUAAUGUUAGCUGCAUCACUUCAGUUUUGAGCAUCAAGUAAUAUUACUCUGGAAAGCUACUUGGAUGUAGACUCUGCUAAUCAGUAGAAUUUAUUUGUGAAAACCAGAGAACUAAUAUGAUGGGUUUCUUCGACUCGAUGUGUAUGUGGUGCACCAUUUUGUGAUUUAUGUUUUUUUUUUUUUGAUAAUAUAAUUUCUACUGUUUAAUUGGUACUUUUACUCGCCCCAAUAAUUACUUUCAUUGUGUCGUCGUAACGUUUUGAUUUUGUUUUGGUUUUUUUGAUAAUGAAAUAAAGUAUACAGAUUAUUGAUAUAUUGUCGUUUACAAUGUAGGUAUUUGAAUUUACGUCUGUAUAAUUUGGCUGUAAACGAAAUAUAUUAUAAAAUAAAAUUGACUUAGUUAUAUUUGUCAACUGAAUUAAUAUUUUUAUUUUGAUUUACUGUCGAAUUAUAGUUACGUUCAUCAAAAACACUCUGCUAAUUAAACCGACCGAGUUUGGGGAUCACCGCGUCUAAGGGUGUGUUUGGUACUCUGUAAAACUAGCUGAAAAUUUUUUUUCCAUGUAAAAUUUUACUUUUUGAUGUUUGGUUGCUAGUAAAAAGUUUUUCGCGGAAAAAGAUUUUUACGCAUACAAAGAAAAUCCGAAGUUUUCGUUUUCCGCUCGCAGCGAGCGGAAAACGAAAACUACGGCACCAAAAAUCGCGGCUCAGGAGGCUUCUUUGUGCACGGUCCACGAGGUGCCCAUCACCUCGUGGACCGCGUGAGAGAGAGAGAGCACAGGUCCAAAAUCGCGGCUCAGAGGCUUCUUUGUGCGCGGUCCACGAGGUGCCCAUCACCUCGUAGACCGCGUGAGAGAGAGAGAGUGGAAGCAUGUGGACCAGUGCUCCCUCUCUCUUUCAUUUUAUAUAUAUAUAUAUAUAUAUAAAAUUUUAUUUUUUAAAUAUAUUAUUGUGUAAUAUUUUAUAUAUAAAUAUUAUUUAUAAAUACAUAAUAACUUAUUUCAUAGUAUUAAAUAUAUAUUAUUAUAUAUUAUAUUAUAUUAAAUACUUAUCAAUUUAUUAUAUUAUAUAAUAAAUUGAUAAUUAUUUAAUAUAAUAUAUGCAAUAGUCUUUAUAUAAUACUACAUAAAAAUAUAUAAUUUUUAUACAUAAAAUAUAAAAUUAGUUUUUCUUUACUGUUGUUUGGUUGAAAGAAAAAAAAUUAUAAAUAAAAAAUUAUUAUAUAUAUAUUUUCUUAUUGUAUAUAUUAUAUUAAAUAAUUAUCAAUUUAUUAUAUUAUAUAAUUUUAAUAUAUUUAAUUUAUAAAUAUAAAUUAUAAUAAUAAUAUAUAUAGCCUAAUAAUUAACCUAAAUUAUAAAUAAAUAAUAUAUAGAAUACAUAAUAAUAAUAAAAAUAAAAUAUACUUUUUCCUUUCAACCAUUCAACCAAAUAACUAUAACUGAAAACUAAUUUUUUUUUCCUACAAAUCAAUCACCAAACUACGUAAAAUUUUUUUUUCAUCAAAAAUUUUUUUCCACCGAAAAUUUUUUUUCCCAGUUUUACGUCAAACCAAACAGCCCCUCAACAAAACCUCCCCACUCCAAAAAUCCUCUUCCUCUUCUUCCCCGACGAUGCGACGAGCACUCUCGAGAAUCCCACGGCUUUCCCUGAGCUCCCACUCUGAUUCCCUUCCUCCUCUUCCUCCUCUUCCCAGCGCUUCUCUUCCACCUCCUCGUCGUCGCCGCUACUUCACCUUCGGGUCUCGCGCCGCAGAGAUCCCGUGCGGUUUCGUGAAGCGAGCGUCGCUGGGAUGCUGCAGGGGUUCGCGAUUCGCCGCCGGGUUCACGCCGCUGCAGCCCAAAGCGCUGGGCUCCAUCAUCGACCUCGGCAGGGCCGAGAACUGCUCCCCCGACGACCUCGUCUCCGUCUGGGACGAUGUGAGAGCACUCCCUGAAACCCUAGCAUAUUUUUCCUGCUAUAGAUCGUGUUAUCCUGUUUUCAUUAUUACGAGGUUGCUUGUGAUUUUGUCAAAACGUCAGACAUCUGAAAUGCGCAAUGUAGAUCGCAUUUGUUUGAUCGAUCGCAUUCGGUGGGAUCGAAAAGGCAGCUUAUUUCAUUCUUUGCUAACCAAACCCUAAAAAUAUAUAAUCCUAGGCCAGAUUUCUGAUCUGUUGGAUAUAAGAAAAAUCUCCAAAAUAAGACCCUAAUCUAAGGACCCAUAUCGUAAAUAUUCGAGAGAACCAUAUGCACAUGAAGUAAUUAUUAUGCCAUUUUAUUGUCCUGUAAGCUUGUCGACUGAUUUAGAGCAUAAAUGAUAGCAAUCCUGGCGACAGGCAAGUAAAUGCGGCAGUAGUUGUUCUUUCCCUGUUUGCCAAGAUCCAGAAAUAAUGAUGGGACAGCUAAAGAUCCUCUCCACUAUUUAGAAGAUUUCAGUAAAGUAGAUAAAAUUUAUACCCUCUGUAUGUGUUUUCUUUUUUCAUUUUUUUGAACAGCCCUUUGUUGUUGAACAGUUACAUUUAAGUUUAUCGUAAGUCAUCCUAGCUUACUGUCUAACCAUUAGGUUUGUUAGUUAGAAUGAUAUCGUCAGCGACAAAAGCAUAUUGUGCGACAUCAUCUUGGCUAAUUUAUGUAUACCAUUUCCAAACCAUUAAGGACUUAAUCCCAAACUUUUGUAUCUUUUUUAUGUAAAUUCAUUUGAAUCUGUUGUAAUUACCCUCAUCACUCUUAUCCCUAUUGUUCAUGUCAUCAGGUUAAUUUUUAAGAAUCAUUUGAAGGUUUGUUUGGAUAAUGUUAACUGUUGAUGAUGUUGAAGUAUUUUCAAAAUAGUGGAAGUAAAUACUGUUGCAUCUGUCUUAUCAGUUAUUUUUAGGCCUUCAAUUUUUUUUUUUUUUUCUUGAGAAGAAGAAUUCAUGAAGCGUUUUCUUGGUCUCACAUAUUUAAUUGAUAUCCUGCGUGAUAGAAUUUUAGAUUCUUCUUUAGUUAGAUUCUAAAUUGCGUCUUCUUGACUUCGCUGUUUUUUUCCCUUUCCUUUUUUUCCCCUCUAUUUCUCUAUGAAACAUCAGUAUCACUUGGGAAGAGGUCAUAUAGGUGCAUCCAUGAAAGCAAACCUGUACCAUCUUCUUGAGCAAAGAUCAGCCACUUGGUAACUUCUUUUUUCCCCCUCUAUUUUUUACUUGUUUGCAUAAAUGUCCUACAUAUUCUAACAUAAUUUGAACUUUGUAGCCGGCAUUUCGUUAUUCCUUUGUGGAGAGGAAGCGGAUAUACCACUAUGUUCAUUCAAGGUUUCUUUCUUGAACUUCCUUUUGUGGUUUUCUCCGCGGGCCGUUCAUGCUUAUGUUUGGAAGUUAUCAACUUGUGAUAUUAAGUAGCUUUUUUUUUCUCGUUGUUAUUUUGUACCUGCUAAACUAUAUUGUUGCAUCAUGCUUCUUAUGAUGAUUGAAUACUCCUUUUGAAUCCGUUGCACUUGUUUUCACUGUCGCAGUUCAGAUGCCGCACAUACUCAUCACGGGCCUUGAGGAUUACAAGGCAAGAGGAACUCAAGCGAGCCCCUACUUCACCGUCACCCACUACACCGAAUUUGCGGAAAGUAAGGGUGUGGUGCUUAUCCGCGGGGAUGUAGUAUUCACCAGCAAGCUCAAUGAUUCUGAGGCAAAGUGGCUGCAAGAGACCACUCACUCUUUCUACCUAAAUGAUGUGCGGUACAAGCUUGUUGAGCAGUUCAACAAAGAGACGCACGAGUUUGAGUUCAAAAAUGUCCUCCGGGCACUCGAAAUGCCAACAGUUUGAUCCUGUUACACUUCUUCCUCUGAAGGUUUUAUAUUCUUUUUCAGGGGAGAACCCGAUCAAUUGAAUCUUACAGCAGCACUAUGGAGAUGAAGCUUGAAAUGUUCUUCUGUUCCUUAGGUGAAUAUCUGUCCUUUAUCCGCACUUUGUGCCCUCUAUGCGCCCAAUCAUCAUAUACCUUUUUCUUUAUUUUUUUCAAUUUCAUUGUUUAACCUUUCCCGGAAUAAGUUACAGGCUUAGUCACUAACAUCGAGCGAAAGAGAUGUUUAUGUAACAUCUGCUUCUGUAUGUACUUUACAUAUAAGUCUGCACGCUUGUGCAGUUGCGGCAUGCAUUUAUCUGUUGAUUUACAUUUGACUUAUGGUACCCGGGAAUUUAAAUUGAACCAGCUCACCUUAUGUUGAGAGUACCAAUGGAAAUUUCAUGAGCUUGUGGCUUUUUUUUUCUUUUUCUUUUUUUUUUUUCUUCGUCUUGCUUUUGGCUCAAAGUUGAGUUCGUAAUAAGUGGUCGAGUGAUGCUUUCUUUUACUGCUCAAGCUGGAUAAAUUAUUUUUCUCAAGGUUCAUUGGUUCUCUCAUGGCACUGUUUUGUCUUUAACUGGUAGGCGUAUUAAUUACUGGAUUUACGAAGGUGCAUUUCUAUGGAGUUACAAAAUCUUCAUCAACUAUAAAGCGUAUGCAGAGUUAGUGAUGCACUAAUGUUAUGAGAAUUUAUUAGCGAAUGCAUUAGAUGAGACUAAAUCUUGUCUAACGUAAACAGUAAAGAAGAUAUAAAUCGGUUUUGCAACCUGAAAUGUUUGUAUUUGAUGCAGCUUGCUUUUGAGUGCUUAGACUUGAAUGAGAGGGAUGUAUCUUCCUAAAACUCGCGUGUGCAUUUGAGAGUAGCAUAAUCGACUCUCUUGAUUUUUACAAUUUUUCGCGUGUAUAAGAAUUACAGCUAAAAAUGCACAAGGACUCCCCGUAGAUGGCUCUACUAUGUUACUUCAGAGAGUUUUUUUUCUUAAUUUCUAUCAAAUAAAUUAAAAGUUCGGUUAGAUUUAACAAUAUUGUUAGCUGUGCUAAUAAAUCAACCAAAAAAAAACUUGAAAUUAAAAUUAUUAAAACGUGAAAAAGUACGGACUUUUUUUUUUUUUUAAAAAAAGGGAGAUUUGAGGCUCGAUUUCGAAAUUAGUUAUAGUAAAAGGGGUUUUCAUAAAUCCUGAUCGACCGCAGAAUUGUGGCCCAACCUCUCGUGUUAAGCUCAACUGGUGCACCUCGCUCUCCCGCCCCUAAAACCCCCCAACCUCGUAGUCGUAGUUACUUAAUCACCGCUCCCGAACGAAGAGAGAGGUAAACGCCUCCUCCCCCUUCGCCUUCCCUUUCUUCUUCUUCCACCUCCUCCCACUUCAAAACCCUAAUUGUCUCCUGCUCCUCCUCCUCCUCUUCCUCCCCCUCCCUCUCUAGCCCAAAAUGGCUUCCCACUCCUCCGCCGAAGCCGCCGAGGUCGAGAAGCUCUACGAGUUCGGGGAGCGGCUCAACGAGGCCAAGGACAAGUCUCAGGUGCCGCUUCUGCUUAUCUUCAAUCCUACUCCUUCGAUUUUCGUUUUUUUUUUUUUUGGUGUUCUUGUGAUUCUGAUGGGGGGUUUCGUUGAAUGGCGCAGCAUGUGAGCGACUACGAGGGGAUCAUCAUGGCGGUGAAGGGCCAGAGCGUGAAAGCGAAGCAGCUCGCGGCGCAGCUCAUCCCCAGGUUCUUUAAGUUCUUCCCCAGCCUUGCCAGCAAGGCCCUCACAGCGCAGUUCGACCUCGUCGAGGACGAGGAGGAACUUGGGGUUGGCUUUCCUCUCUGCUCUUUCUUCUAUAACCAUUUUACUAUAAAAAAGUGAAAUAUUUGCUCUAAUUUUAUGUUAGUAUGGUAAAAUUUGAUAAACUUUCACUAGAAAAUCAGUUCCUUAGGUGAACAGGUAAACUAUUUUAGCUAUUUCCCGAAUUCCUAUGAUUGGAUAGGGUUAAAGGGAUCUAGAAGCCUAGAAGUGCACGUCACAAAUUAAUGUGAUUACUAAAAUCUGUUUGAUUUGUUUGAUUUAAGUGAAGUGUAUGUGCAAAUGUUAAAUUAAGGUCUUUUGGCUAUGUGCAAUUGAAUAUGUUGGUGCAUAGACUUCUUUAUUCUUGUGUAUUGUUGGUUAGUUUGUAAGCUCACGUUUUGCUUAAAAAAACAAAGAUGGAAAGUAAGUUAUUGCCGAGCUUUUGGUUUUUGGUACCAAGCAAACUUCACAGAUGCAUAGAUUGCAACUAAUUUGCUAUCUGCUGGUACAUUCUUGGUUACUUGGUACCUCAAUUUCUUAGGACUUGAUUCUUAACAUGAUUUAGUUAAGUUAUUAUUGCAGCCUAUGUUUCAUAUGUUGUUCUGAAUUCCUGGUUCUUUUAUGCCUAUCUUUGAUAUGCAUUUGUUCCAUUUAAUGAUUAAGAAGUUGAAGUAUUUUCUGAAUAAAUUUACCCUGAACAUCAUAGACAUUCAUAUAUUCUUCCAUGUAUUGAUUAUGUGCUUUCAUUACCUUGGCUGUUCGUAUUCUGCAUUGUAAUAACCUUUUACGACAUUAAUCUUAUCUAUAUGAAAGCAUAUUCAAAUUACAGACUGUCAGCUUCAUGUCAUGUUGCAUGCUUAGUUUUGUUGAGAUACUGUCGUCUUGCACUUGUUGGCAUUUUCUAUUUCUUCGCCAUAUCCUCAGAAUAGUUUAAGCUGGUUUUCUAUGUGAUUUUAAAAUUUUAUUGCUUGCUAUUAAUUUAUGGCUUCAGGUUAGAGUACAAGCUAUUCGCGGGUUUCCUCUUCUUUGCAAAGAUACUCCAGAACAUGUUUCCAAAAUUGCAGAUAUUCUUGGACAACUCCUUACAUAUGGUAUUGCUCUCUUAUGUUUAUGUGCUUUAUGCCCUAAUAGAUUUACCAUAUACUUUGCGUUGAUGGUUGAGUUUUUGUGCCCCAGGGGAAAAUGUUGAGCGCGAUGCAGUUAAUAAAUCUCUCAUGUCUAUUUUAAGGCAAGAUGUGAAAGGUACAUUUUAGUUUAGAAUCCUAUUAGAGCUCUCCUUUAUGGAAUGUGACUACUCAAACCUUAUGUUUUCAUUACUAGCACAUUUCAUUUUACAUAUUAAAAGAUGGCAUAUAGGCUAUAAAUUACCAUCGUAAUGCAUUUUAUAAUUUGCAUUUUGCCAACCGUUUCAGAGAUGGAGCUAGAAUGCAAUUCUUUGAGGGGCCCAACAAUAAUUUAGUACAGUAUUGCAUAUUUAAAAUCAAUAAUUAAUAUAUAUAUAUAUAUAUAUAUAUAUAUAUACACACACACAUAUAUAUAUGAUUUUUUCAAAACAAAUAUAAAAGCACCGAAGUAAUGAAAUCCUUUUUUUUUUUUCCUAAAUAAAUAGCUCUAGUUCAUAUUUUUCCAAAUGAUUUAGUAUGGAUGCAUUGAUUUUCAUGGAUUUAAUAAGAUUACUCUAGAGUGCAUGAUACAAGCUGUAUUUUUCUCCUUCUGAAUGGCAUAUCAAUUUUCUUUGGUAGCACCUUUUGCUGCUUUUGAUAGGAAGGCUAAAAGAUGUAAAUGAAGUAGGUAUAGCGGGGAGUUGCUAUUAGGUUUGAACGAGAUUUGGUUCAUCAGUCAGAGUUGUGAAGAUGGAGUAGCGAACGUACAGUGACCACAUUAUUGUAGAUGAUCUGCAAGCAGGGAUCAUAAGAUUUAAGAACCCUUUGCUGUCUAUCAAGUUAUCUUAUUAGGACUUUUGGUGUGACCCUUUAUAAGUAGAAAAAACCCUGGUAUUGGAAUGUGUUCCCAUCCAUUUAAAACACAUAUGUUCUGUGUGCUUCUUGCUCAUGAAUCAACAUGUAGUUCUUGCUACUGCUACAGUGGUGUGUUAAGAUUCCACUUUCUGUGGCAAUAUUCAUGAAUUUACGCUAUUCAUCUUUUUUCUGUGUCAUUUAGGAUGCAUUGAAAAGAAACCUCAACAACUCCUUAGGUCUUCCUUAUUAAUAAAGGCAAAUCAUGAGUGACAAUAUAAAUGUCUAUUUUUACUUGACUUGGUGCCUAGGGGAAUGGUUCUUAUUCUUGAAGAUAAGGAUCAGUAUACGAUAUCACCUUUUCAUUUCCUUGGGUACUCUUUUAAGAUUUUCUCAGUUGUUUUUUCCAAUUGUAAUUGAUAAUGUGCAUAAUUCUAGACUAUUAGUUCCUCUGUGGCAUUCCAGCAACUAAUUGUAGCCCCUUAGUGCUUUAGCAGCUAUCAAGGUACUGUUUUUUAUUAAACCAUCAUUACGGCCAGAUCUUAAUGUGGUUGACGUAUUAGAAUCCCUUGAUUUGCUUAUUGCUAAGGGUAGUCGUUAGUGACUACUUUGUGAAUCUUCUUAGUUGAGAACUUUGUAUUGUCUAUACAGAUGUUUUGGUAUUGAUAAGUUCUGGUUGAUGGGUAAUUUCUCUGAUGCAGCUUCAUUGACGGCUUUGUUUAAGCAUGUUGAGAUAGGCAUGGAGAAUGUUCGUGAAAAGGUCAUCUGUUUCCUGAAAGACAAGGUAAAUUCUAAAUUUAUAUGGACAAGGUCAUGUGUAGAGAAAUCAUCUAUAUUGUCUAAGCUAAAAAACAUUUGUUUUUGGUCAGGUGUUCCCUUUAAAAGCAGAGCUGCUGAAGCCCCAAGUUGAAAUGGAAAGAUAUGUCACUGAUCUGGUGAAGAAAGUAUGUUCCUAUAUUGCUUUUGAUGACAACAAAUUUAUUUUUUUCCCACUGCCAGGAAUUUGAAUAAUUUAGGUUUUCUGUGUAUAUAUAUAUUUCUCUUAGUCUGUACCAAACAUGUAUCAUUUUUCUAACAAAUGACAUCAUUUUUCAGAGCUUACAAGAUGUAACUGGUGCUGAGUUCAACUUGUUUAUGGACUUCCUGAGGAGCUUUAGCAUAUUUGGAGAAGGUGCUCCUCCAGAGCGUAUUCAAGAGCUGAUUGAAAUAAUCGAAGCACAGGCUGACCUUGACGCACACUUUAAUGUAAGUAAUUUUGCCCGAGCAAGUGAUGAUGAUGCAGAGAUGUCUUGGUAACGUUUUGACAAAUGUGAGAAGCUUUUGUUUUUUCUCGAGUCAAGUUGGCAUGUUUGAUGAUCAUUUAACACGUGACUGCUGCUCCUUUUCUCUUCCAGGUUGAUGAUGUUGACCAUAUCGAUAGAUUGAUUUCAUGCAUGUAUAUGGCUCUUCCUAUCUUCAUGGUAUGGACUGUUGGAUGCAAGUUCAUAUAGCUUUGUGCAUUUUUUAUGUUCUUAUUUUGUUUACCUUGUCUGAACUUGAACUAAACUCUGUUGUCAGAGAGGUGCUUCCAGCAGCAAGUUUCUCAACUAUUUCAAUAAGCACAUAGUACCUGUCUUUGAUAAGGUAAGCAUUGUGACUAUUUCAAUAAGCACAUAUUGCCUGUCUUUGACGAUGUAAGCAUUUGUCUUCAAUGCUUGCUGACCUUGUUCAGUUACAAGAUUGGUUUCUGGUUUUCUCUAGCUGUAUGUUUCAUUUUAUAUUCCUCGCAUGUCAAACUUUUAUCGUUAUAUGCUCCAAGUGGUAACCAGUAGAAGCCUUUAUGAGUUGAUAUGUUCGUGUUUCUGAGUUUUUCUAAUAGUUUUGACAAUUUAUUUGAUUUGUCCUUCUUGUAGAGCAUUUUUAUGACACCAAGAAGGAUUUCCCUAUGUUUCUCUUGACUAAUCAUAAAUUUUCUUUGCAUGAAAUCUUACUCUUUUCAGUUUCCUGAAGAGAAGAAAAUAGAUCUGCUCAAGACUGUUGCUGGAAGUUCCCCAUAUGCUACGGCACAAGAUUCACGCCAACUUCUUCCAUCUAUUGUCCAACUGCUUAAGGUAUAUGUUUGGUAUCUCGUGGUCUGGAAGAGCAAUUUUAUUCGUAAAAUCAUAAUUUAUUUCCUGCUUGAGCUAUUUUCUAACCUUUUUUUUCUGUUGCAAAGCCUUCUUUAUGAUACGCCUUUUCUUCUAUUAUUACAUACUGUGUUUAGUGAAAAUUUUAAUUAUAUAUAUAGUUAUAUCUCUUUAUUUUGCUUUCCGUAGAAGUGUAUGCCCAGGAGGAAGACGGAAGAGACUAACUUCAACUACGUUGAGUGCUUGUUGUACACAUUUCACCACCUAGCUCAUAAGGUUACUUUACUUUCGCGUUGGUUUCCAGUAUUUUGUUUGUGCAGCACUGCCUUGUACUUGAGCUGAGCUCUAUGUGUCAUGCAGACGCCAAACUCUACAAACAGUCUUUGUGGUUACAAGAUUGUGACUGGCCAGCCAUCUGAUAGGCUUGGGGAGGAUUUCUCAGAUAACUACAAAGAUUUUACAGAGAGGUAAUCUUAUAUGUUAAUCUAUUGUAUUUUACUCUCUUGAAAUUUAUAUUCUGCAUUUUAUUAGCUUUUUAUUGUUUUGCGGUUACUAUUUUAAUUGGCAGAAACUGUUACCUUCUCUAGUAUAACUUCUUUAAGGCCCUAUUGGAUGUAUGAAUAUCUUGGUCGGUAUAUCUUCCUGAUUUACUCGAGAAGUUUGUAUAUUUGGUAGAUGAGGAGUGUGAUCAAAUGUUUAAAAUUGAAUAUUAUAUUAAUUCAGCCUUCAAGCCAUUUUUUUUUGGAUAAGGUAAAUUAUUACGUAGGUGAAAUAUACUAUCCUACCAAACUAUGAAUAUCAAGACCUUUCAAGAAGCAAAAUUCAAACUCUUUUCUUACAAUCACAAUAGAAAAUCCUUAUACCAAAUAAGUUCCAAAUAGGGCCUAAGUAUUAGGCAACACUUAAUGUGUUGCAAUAUUUGGCAAUGUACUCAUGGUCAAUUUUCAAUGAAUUUAACAUGCUUGCUUCUGAGUCCUGCUGAUCUCAAUAUAUCAGUUGAUGAGGUGCCCUAUGAGAGAUAAACUUACAAAACAGAACAUAUGCUAUUGUUUAAUGCCCAAGUGAAUUGAGAUGAGAUCAGUUCACCAAAUCUUCAAGUGGAAUAUGAGCUGCUGCUUCAUUCUGAAUAGGAAUUUAUUUUUAAUGCAUUUCAUUGUUAUGUGUUUACUGUAUAGGCAUACAUCUUUUUUCUGCUCCAUGUUUUGAUCUUGUUAAAUGUUUCUGUGCAGGUUAACUGCAACUGAAGAAAUAGUGAGAGCAAGCUUGAAGAAACUGACCCAGGGAAUGGCAGAGCACAAUAAGGCACUGUCUGCAGCUAAGACUGAAGAGGCAAAGGCUAAGAUUGUGAGUUAUUUUCAAAAUUUCUUUUUAUGCACUCUGUGCAAGGGAAAGGUUUCUUUUGAAUAUUGUCAAAUGUGAAGAACGGAACCCUGAUAAUAUUCUUAAAAUCCACCAAGCAUCGUAUAAAAUCCACAUUUGAUGUUGGUGUCUUGUUUAUUCACAUAUAGCAUCAAAAUUGUACCUUUAACAUAUUUGAAUAUUUUGCAGAAAACUGAGCAGCAAAAAACAACAACUGGGUUGCGGAUCUGUAAUAACAUAUUGGCGAUGACACAGGUAGCUGAAUUUUCCAGAUAUUACUAGAGAUAGUUAUAUCCCUUUUAUAUUUCACUGGAUAUGGAAUAUAAGUUUGGUCGCAAGACAUUAGGAAGUAUCAGUGGCUUACCAUUGGUGAGUCUGUUCCAGUUAAGGAAUUUUCCACCUAGUAUUGAAAAGAAAUUGGAAGACAUGAGAGCACCUCCUGCUAUGCUUGCAAACCCUUACCAAAACACAAUUAGGGCUACUGCAAUUGCUAUUGCUUAGCAGUUCUGGCCACAGCACAGCUCAGCAUCUAUGUUUGGUUGCAUCUGGGUUAGGUGUCCCUACUACUACAGUAAGGCCCGCGUUUAUUUCGACCAUAGUUUGUUGACUUGUAUUCCUUUUGUAGCUGCCACUUGUCAUGUCAUCACCGUGUACUGUAAAGGUGCCCAGAGGUGGGAUCUGCAUUUCCUGCCUCAUGUUGUGUCCGGAUUUCAUGCGGAUUGCAGGUGGAGGGUUUUUUUACGCGCUUAUUUUUGGUUUUGAGAAUUGGGAGCGUGGCCCUAUACUAUAUUACUACUGCACCUGAGCACCCUUACUGGAUUUCAGACCCUCCCCAACCCUCCCUGUACCUUUUACCACUAGGAAUCCCAAUGUUCCUUUUUCUGUCUUUUUCAGCUGUUAAAGAUCCAACGGUUCCAAAAGCAUCUUCUGUUUAGGGUGGUGUCAUAUAGACGAGACAUUCCUGUUCAUAUGUUUCAUGAUAGUAGAAAUAUGAUGCUAAUACUUCAUACGCUUAUAUCUAAACACUGAAUCUUUUGCUUGUUACCUUUUUCAGCCAUUGCAUGCGAAAGCUCCCACAUUCAUCGGAGAUAAGAAGAUCAAGCUCUCGUGGCAGGAGCCGGUGAAAAAGAGUACUCCAGCUUCUACAACUGGAGCAGGGUUAGAUACUCUUCUCAUCGUUUUUGUCUGUAUAUUUUCCUAUUUUCUUUUAACUUGUAUGCAACUCAAUCUUGUGUCUCCCACUCACCUUUCAGGACCAAGAGAGCUGGAACUACCACAAAUGGUGCCAGUGCGAAUCCUUCGGCAAGCAAAAAGGGGCGAGUUGAGGGGGUGAUGCAAAACCAGCUUGUCAACAGAGCUUUGGAAGGCCUAUCUCGAGGUGGUGGGAGAAGCGGUGGAAGAGGAGGAAGGGGUUGGGGAGGCCGAGGAAGAGGUCGGGGUUUCCGCUAGAUUCAGGGAAGAGAUUCUCUACUUACCAGCUGUGCAGUAGAUAUUGGAGAGGGCGUUUCUGCUUCAAACUUAAACACACAGAAAGGUUGCAAAAUUUUUGUUGAACUUGAGAUGAAGCAUGUUCUUAUUUCAAUCUGGGCGAAAGUGAAAAAGUUUCGACGUUGUAUUUUGGCGAUCCAAGGAGGUGGUGGAUUGUGUAAUCUACAUUAGUUGGUUUAUCAGAACAUUCUAACCUUAUGCAUUAAGCUUAAACAUCUUUUUCAUUCUCUUUUUUGCCUAUUGCACAUCAUCUGUCACACCAAUGUACUUAUUAAUGGCUCAAUAACGAAAAUGUGUCUAUCAUCAGUUCCAUUGAAGCAGGCCUUUUUAAACGUCAAUUCUCAAAAUCUAUGGCUUUUUUUACAUGUAGCUCCCUCAUAUAUAUAUAUAUAUAUAUAUAUAUAUAUAUAUAUAUUUUGGCAUAUAUGGUCUCCUUCUUGUUUUGUGAACACCACGUUAACAAUUUUAAGUUGAAUACAGUGAUUGAAUCAUCCGUUUAUAUUUACAUUUUAGUUUCUUUUUCUCACUACAAGAUAAUAAAAAAAUACGGUAAUCUAAUCAGAGUGAUUAAAUCACUGUGUUCAACUUAAAAAUGCCAUUUAGACGUUCACAUGAUAAGAAAAUAAUUAGUUAUAUAAAUAUAAAUUUAUUAGGAUUAUUUAUUAAAUUUUUUUUUGAGAGGCUAAAUACAAAAAAAAAGCCCCAAAAUGUACAGAGAUAUCAGUCCACAAUUUAAUUAUCCUGAUCAACUAUCGGUAGAUAUACACAGUAGUCCGCGAGAGUGGAGGCAUGGACUUAAACACGCCUCAAGGAGAAUAAAAGACCAGUCGCUGCAUUUAACAAAAAAAAAAAAAAAAAAAAAAAAAAAAAACUUUUAGAAGUCCGAUCAGAAAAAUAAUUAUUCUGCAAUUAUACAAGUUAUUGCAAAGCGCAGGUACUCAGGCUAGUGUUGCUAUUAAGUGCUACUAUUAUCCACCAGGUUUAAAACUUUGGAUCGAGGAAAAAAAAAAUGUUUUAACAAUUUUAUCUGACUAAUCAAAAUUUGGGUGAAAAACUAACUACGUGAGCGCAAGUAGUAGCUAAACACCAAAAUCUAUUUACAGGUACUUAAAUUUUAUACGCAACACCUAGCAAGAAAGAAAAAACCAUACACCUUAAACACCACAUUGUAACUGUAGGCCACCGAAAAACAACUGUUCAACUCUUCUUUACCUAACAUCCAUCUCUGAUUCUUCUCUGGUUGUUCUUACUUGCACAUAUGAAUAUAUCUUUUAAAAACAAGACUAGUUGCGCUAACCUGUAUCUUUACCAAGACUUUCGGAUUCCUCAGCAUCCAUAUUUCUGGAUGUGACUGACUAUUUAGCGCAGCUCACGGGGGGACUGGACUGGGUUAUCUAUGGAAGAAUCCCCUACUGCAAGAGGAUCAACCUUUAACGUGCCGUUCGACAAGUUAGAUCCAUCAGCCUCAUCCCUCUCGUCAGUCUCCAAUGAUUGUUCUUUCUUCUUGCCGGAGCUUUUUCUAUUAAAUACACCUUUUAUGCUCUGAGCAGAUUUUCCCGCCUGCUUAACCAUGUUCUUUGCUUUGUCCUUCAAAUGACGUCUGCCCGGGCUUUCUCCCUCAUCUUUUUCAGGACUAAAGCGCUCGUUUUCAUUCUCCAGUUUAGACCCUUCAUUUUUCCCUCCAAUAUCUUCAUCCACUAUGAGCUUCACUGAUAUCCGCUUCUCUCCAAGCGGCCUUAUAUUCGGUGGUGGAGUUGGAAGCGGCACGUCAGCACUCUCUCUUUCACUUCCCUUUUUUGGACUUCUGUGAAACACUGAACUUAGUUUUCCAAGGCCUCUCUUUAGUUUCGCAUGCCGAUGAGAUUUACCACCAUCCAAACUCUCCUCGUUACUAGUAUCGCUAAGAUGAGAUCGUGAUGCAGGUGAACUAGGGUUUUCUUUGAACCCCUCAUUUGUCUCUCUAAGAAGUUGGGACUCCAGAUAGCGGGCCCGUCCUUUGCGAGGUUCCCAUGUUUGGGAGAUAUCACUGCCGGGCCGGUGCACCCACACUCCUGUCUUUUCUUGUCCCUCAAUGUCAAUGGGUUCAAACUCGUCUGCCAUCUUCUGAUCGCCAUCACCCAGGUAUUCAUUGCUGUUGCGGGUUUCGGCAGUAGAGCUCGAUUUGGGCGUUGUGCUUUCAGCGGGCUUGGCUGCUUCUUCUUCCUCACCAUUAAGAUCUUUCUUCACCUGCAAAAUAUUUUGCUGGCCUAAGUUCAGCAGUCAAGUUUUACUGCAAUCUUGACAUGUUGUUUUUACUUGGUAGAAAGGACACCUUUUCUGGUUCAUCUUCGAUGACAGUUAUUGCUAAGUGAAGCCUUCCCAUUUUAAUAUUAUUCAAUGGCAACCACUUGUCAUGUCUUUGUCCUCCCCUUAAGUCGUUGAUGUCCACACAACAGUUGCUGCAAAGAAUAAUCGUCCAAACACUAAUUUGUUAUAUUUUAACUGAAUGAAAAUCUUCUUAUUGGACAAAUUACCUUCAAGAUGUACAAGAAACUUUUCCCAGUCAAACUAUGAGAUUUAACAAUAAAUGCUAAAGGCACAAGUAACAAACCCGAGCGAGUCAUCGAAUAGAGGGUCUUUAUCACGAACUUGGAGAACAAGCAAAUUUUGUGCUUCCCAUGAGCUGAUAGGAAUUUUAAAUUCCUCCAGCCACUUUGGAGUUAAUGUUUUUCGCUGGAUUUUCGUCUGGAAUCUGUAAGGACCAAGGUGGGCUUUCACAUAUGGAUCAGCGAGUCCUACAUAUUGAUUAUUCAGCAGGAUAAACAUUUAAAGAGGAGUCAAAACUUUUGAAUAAGAAUGAAACAAAGAAUGACCAUCAACUACAAGUAGUUGUAUAAACUUACCAUUUAAAUCUGAUGGUUUCAUGUUAGCUCCUUCUAUAAUCUCCAGUUGUACAUAAGCGAUAGGAGGUUUCUCAUUGACAGUGAACCAGUCCCCUGAGAAAUACAGCAUAAAAAGUGUUUCAAUAAGCAAAAAAAAGCUAUAGAACAAAUUGUUCUUCUCGAAGCAUAUGCAACAUGUAAAGAAAAUAUCACAAUUCUCUGGUCUCAGUAUGAAGUAAGUGAAUAGCCUCAAAACACCUGUUCCCUUAUUUCUCAAUUAGACAAUUGAGGAUUUUGAGUUAAUACAUGCAGCUAGUUACUGAUGGUGCUAUAUUUUGUGUUCACCAACUAUCGAGUGUCGCAUGGUUGAACUUGAAAAAGAUGGUUGUCUCGCUGACCACAUCAUGUCAAAUGUCUUUGUUCGCAUAAUACAUCAAGUAUCUUAUUCUUAGAAAUAUGAGGUCUAACAUUUCUACAUGUUCAAUCAGAACUCCUGAGUAAAAGAUUAUGUUGAAAGCCUUUAAAUCAUAACCAUGCAGUCAACUCAGAGAGCCUGGUAAAGCACCAACCAUAGCGUCAUUCACAAACUAAUCAAUAACUAGUGUAUACUAUAUGUUUAAAUACUCAUAUAUUUACUAUAGCUUUUGCAAUACCAAAAUAAUAUGACAAAGGUCCGCCUUAUGCACAGUCAGAAUCCCAUAUAGUAAGAGGAAACAAAAUGCCAAAAUAAUCUUGAAGGAGUCAAGCAUUCAAACAGUGAUGGAAUAAUUGAACAGAUAUGGUAAUGACUCUAGUUUAAAAUCUGAAAAGCUGUAACCUGAAUGUUUGCGUGUUACCUGUGGGUGCUGAAGCAAAUUUUUCCACAUCAACAACAAGCAUGUUGGGCUGAGAAAAAAAAAGAAGCAUUAUCUCUAGUAAUUGGAAGUAGAAAGUCUAAUAUUUCCAGAAGAACCGAAAAGAAAAAUAAAAUUCACAUAGUAAUUGCAGAAGCUUGAUCCAACAAGAAUAAUAUAUCCACCCUUUCUUCUAAUAAAGAGACAUGAGCUACAAAUACUAAUGCUUUUUGAAUCAACAUAGUCAGAAGAACUAACCUCAACCAAUGUCUGCCCAAAUGCGACAUCCAACAGUUUAUCCUACAAAACCAAACCAGUUACAUGAAUUCACUGAGCAAUAAUGGAUGGAAUUAUAUAUAUAAGCAUACAUAUUUAAAAGAAAAAGGAAAAACCUACAAGCCAUCCUGAGAUUCCAGGAAGUUCAGUUACAUCAAGCCCAUGACCAAAUAUGGGCUUCACUGUCAUCUGGAAAUAUGGAGGCUCAACAAAGCAUACUCUGACACGUCCGAUAAACGGCCAUUCCCGGAGAAACUUCACACCUACAAGUACCUGUAUCAAAGAAAAAAAAAAAACUAAAGAGAAAGAAGAAAAAAGAAGGCCUUAGUUUGUCCAAAGGAUUAAUAACAGUGCCUAUUUCACAAAUAGUUAAAAGCACACAAAACCAACAGCAAGACAACAUAGUAGACCAAACAUGUGAUUGCUUAAUCUGUUAUAUUAUCCAAUGGAUUCAAAACCAAAUGUUGCUUGGGGAAGGAUAUUACUUAAUCUGAUCCUAAGAAGUACAUACAAUUAGAAAAAGAUUUGAGUUCGAGCAUGGCUCAUUUCUCCUGCUUUUCCCCUUUUUCCGCUCAACUCCCAUAAUUAACAACCCCACAAACAUGGAAACAAACAUGGAAUUGGAAAUCCUGUUAAUCCUCUCCCUCUGUCCCUUCCUCUAUCUCAAAUUGUCGCUAAACAUUCAUAACUCCUUACAUUUUCCAUUUUUUGACCUUUAACAUGCAUCAUACAUGAACAUUUGCUAGUUUAAAGUAAAUUAACAACUGCAGCAUAAAAUUGUGGUUACAAGUUAAACGCAUUCCACUCAGACUUUGAUGACCACUGACUUCCCUGAUCUUCAAAGAGAUUAGACCUCCUCUUCCUGAUAAUAAUUUUGGAAACUAUCUACCCUUAGAAAACUAUAAAUAAAUGUCAUAAAACAGAAGAACUUAAUAGGAAAAUAUUCCAAGGACUGCUCCACUAGAAAUUGUCAGAUUAAAUAGGCCAUAAACAAAAAUAUCUUCACCUUUCCUUCAACAUGCAUACCAGUUACAUGCAUGUUUGCUGUAAUGCCAAAUCCUAAUCUUUUCCGCAGUUGCACUGCGAGUAUUGCACUCAUGUCUUCUGCUGACAUAAAAUUCAACCCCAAUUCUAGAACCUGCAAUUUCCAGCGUAAAUGAAAAUUUUUUUAAAAAAAGAAAACUUUUUCUUGAGAGCACCAUACUGUAGCAGUAUAUGGUAAGUUGAUAGCAAAAUCAGGAAAAGAAAAAAAGAUAACAGAUUCAUACCAAAUGGUCAUCAUCUGCUUGUUGAGCAAGGACUCUUAUAUCUGUAAACAAAGGUGGAUUUCUACCCAAGUAAAGAUUCUGAAUAGCUGCUUUUCGCUGCAAAAUAUAUUGCAUACAGGAAUCAUUGAUUGUUCGACAUGAGGCACUAAGUGCAGUUAAACCUAUUGUUUUACAAAAUUAAAGGUAGUGCUAGGAUAAAAAAAAAAAACAAUGUUCUCAGAACUCAAUAGAUGUAGUUAAAGGUAAAAAUAAUUAAAGCUUAAAUAAAUUAUAAAGCAUUGUGAAAUUGGUACCUGAUUUUUUUUUUUUCUUUUUUCCUUACUACCUUACCAUUCGUUAUUUUUGGAAAUUGGAACCAUUUCAAAAUGCAGUAUAGUUUUAAAUAAGAAUUCCCUUUUCUUUUCCCUGAGGUCACAUCUAUUAAGUAGAAGUCUAGAAGAUAUGAUCAUGGAUAGGCAGAGUAAUAGUCGUAACAUAUCUACAAACUGAAUCACACAAAUGUAAUGACGAGAAAGCAUACAGCUGUCCAAGGCUUGAACUUGUCCAAGAACCAUGGUAUGAUGGGCAGAAGGAACUGCUGAGACGCAAUCUUUUCAAGGCAUAUAGGCCAGAUCUUCUCGACCGCAUGAUUCAACCAUCGAACAGAUUCCGUAUCAGAGAGAAGCUAAUGCAUGAAAUAGCAUGAGUCAUUACUAUCAACAUCUCAAACCCCCAAAAAACGAAAAGUUUAGUUCUCAAGCAGGUUUACAUUACAAUCAACAUGAAGAAAAAGUACUCGCUAAGCACAUAACUUGUAACAUACCCUUCUUUGAUUGGCACAUUUUCUUUCCUCGAACUGUAAUCGCCUUUGUAAUCGCAGUGUGCAGCGCUCAUUUACCUAUUACAAAGGAUUAAAAAAGUCACUUUUUCUCGACUAAUAAGUAACAAAUACCUGCCCUAAGCACUUUUCUACCAAAGUCUACAGUAAUGCCAUUACUCUGAGAAGUACAAAACUAGACGAUGGUCGCCUAAAAUCCCCUCAAACAUACAAAAUCGUCAAUUUCAUAAUUAUUAUGUCUUGUAUAGACCACAUAACGCAAAAAAAUUGCAAGGCAAAUAAUUUCAAGCAUAUAUAAUGAUCUAACACCUAGAAAAAAAAAAAAAAAAACAUUAUUAGGAUAAAAAGUCAAGGCACAAAGUUAAACAAGUUUGAGAUGCUAUGAUCAACUCCUGAAAUUCGUUCCCACCAUUCAGAUGAGCGAUUACUUCCCACCGCAAAAAAAAAAAAAAAAAAAACAACAACAACAGCAGUAACCAUGAAUCUUCUAAAGAUUCGCAAAAUUGAUCCACAUGAGACAACACCACAAGUAUCACCAAGUACGAUCUAUUUCACUUUUCAUCGUAAAAAAAAAAACAAACCAAAUAGUGAGGGUAAAAUUACCAAGUAGAGAUACAACAGGGCGACGAAGAAAAGGACGGGGUGGGACCAUCCGAUCGAAAUGGAGAUCCACAACAGGGCAAGAACCAACGUGAUGUGGUGUAUGAUCGACACCUCCAUUAUAUUCAUCUCUUUUACUCGAUUUUUUUGAAAGAGAGAGUAUAUGCGUUUGAAUCUCAGUAUAUAGUAUCGAGAGAAGGGAGAGAAAGGGAAGAGAAAGUGAGAGGGAUCGGUUACGCAGAGAGAAACUAACAGACUCGGAGGAUGUUAAUCAGAUGUUAUGAACUUUUAGAAAUUGGAAUUAGGAUUAGAGGCGAAUUGUGGGGGAUUCAUCCAUCUACUUUUAAAAAUUAAGAGAAAGAAAGAAAAAUAUAUAAAAUAUUAUUAUUUUCGCUGAUGAAGCGGAGAGUGAUAUAUCGUGGCGGUUGAGGCGCCUCGUCACGCGUCGGCGUCGCCGGCGCGUGGACUCGGAGUUUGGAGUUACCAGAACUGGUGCACGUCAGACUCUGGCAUGCGGGGCCCACAUCGCCAGCUUUCUCAGUAUACUGUAGCCGUCCGAUGACCGUGCUAUUGCGGUUUCCUUUGAUAAUUAUUUACGAUAUAAUAAAAAUAAGACUACUAUACUUUUGAAAGCACGGAGCCUUUUGUGCUUUCAAAUUAUUUUUUAUAUUGCGACUUUCGAAUCGUCAAUCGAUUUUGUUAAACUUUUUUUUUUGAGAGAUAGAUAGCACGCUACCCGCUUUGUAUAUUUCAUUUAGAAAUAAAUUUAGCUAGAAAUGUGAAUCAACUAGAAUUCGAACUUGGGUCUCGGGUACCAAUCACCAAGUCCUUUACCACUUGCUCUAGAGACGGCCAGUUCGGCUCCGUUAAACUUGAUCUAGAGUAUUUGAAGUACCUAGAAAAUAAAUUUUGCGAUUUUUCGAUAUUAUUUGUCUAGUGAACGAAGGCGUUCAAAAUCAACAGUUGAAAAUAAAAAUUCUAUAAAACGUAAUAAUAUGACAUUAAAAUUUUAGAUCAAUAUCUUUGAUCUUGUUUUAUAUAGUAUAAAGAAUUUUCUAGCAAAAUUUCACGUGAUUUGAAUAUUUCUACAUCGUUAAACUUGCAAACGGCUCACUACGGCCAUUAAAAUUAUUGAUUUUGAACCCCUUCGAUCACUAGGCAAAUAAUAUCGAAAAAUUAUAAAAUUUAUUUUCUAGGUACUUCAAAUACUAUAGAUCAAGUUUAACAGAGCCGAUCGACGAUUCGCAAGUCGCAAAAUCAAAAACGACCUGAAAGCACGGAAGGCUUUGUGCUUCCAAAAGUAUAGUAGCCUCACUCAUAUAAUAAUACGAUUGAUCAUAUAUAUAAAAUAUUAUAUAUAAUUUUAUAAAAUUGAAAAAAUUAACUAUUAAAUUAUACAAUUUGUAAAGUUAUAUAAAAAUUUUGUUGGAAAGUAUGAUAUUUCUAAAGCUGCUAAUAUAGCAAUAAUAUGAGCAAUACUACAUGUACAUCGUAAUGGAUAAGAUGUUUUUAUUAGACAAGUGGUGUCAAUCCCACUCAUUGAAUAAAUGGGGAGGAGUGUAAUAUAUACACCCGAUUGGGGAUGUGUAAAUAGUGUUUUUUCAAUAAUAUAUAAUUACAGUAUUGUGAAUUAAAAAUAGGCCAAUUUGCAUAAAAAAUCCACUUAUUUUGGGCUUUUGUAAAAUCGGGCCAUUUUUUUCGUUUUUGCAGAUUCGGUCCGCUUUUUCAGCAAACUGACCAAAAUACCCUUAUACCUUUUUCUCUUUCCUCUUUCUCUCUCCUUUUUUUUCUCUCGUUCUUUUUUCUUUUUCUUCCCAGAGAGCGGCGAAGACGGAGCGGAGGUGCCCUUAUACCUUUUCUUUUCUCUUUUUUCUCUCGUUCUUUUUUUUCUUUCUCUUCCCAGAGAGCGGCGAAGACAGAGCGGCGUCGCCGCCGGCGCCCCCACCUUCCUCGCGUCCGAUCCCCCCAAGGCCGGGCUGUGACUUUUUUUUUUUUGCAUUUUUCUUUUCUUUUCUUCUUUGACUCUCCUCCACAGUUUCCGACGACGGCGCCUCUCUCGCUAUUUCCUGCCCUUCUCAUCUCUCCUUCUCCCUCCUUCUCUGCUGCCUCCGACGACGAUGCAUCUUCGCCGACACCGACGCCGACACCGUCGAGAUCACUGCGGCGCUGCAGCCUUGGAGUGGGGGGUCUUUAGCGGCGUCGUCACCGACACAGUGGCUAUUGACAGAGAGGGUGACAAAAAAAAAAAAGAAAUAGAAAAAAAAUAAAGAUAAAAAAAUAUAUAAAAGAAAAGGAUGAAGAUGAAAUUGUAUCGUUAACUACAAAAAAAAUUACAAGUUGCACUACUUAAGAUGUAAACUGCAGCUUUAAAAUGAAAAUUACACUCUUUAAACGAAAAUUACACUCUUUGAAAGAUAUUUACACUGUUUCUCUUCUUAUUGCACUCUUUCAGAUAUAAACUGCACCCACUAAGAUAAAAAUUACACUCUUUAAAUGAAAGUUGUAUUGUUUCUCCUCUUGUUGCACCGUUUCUCCUCUUGUUGCACCAUUUCUCCUCUUGUUACACUAUUUUUUAUCUUAAACUGCACCCAUUUAAGAGAUAUUUAUACUGCUUCUCCUCUUGUUGCACUGUUUCUCCUCUUGUUGCACUGUUUCUCUUCUUUAAAGAGGAGAAACAGUGCAACAAGAGGAGAAGCAGUAUAAAUAUCUGUUAAAGAGGUGCAGUUUAAAAUAAAAAACAGUCCGACCCCGUUCGCCGCGGUCGCUGCCGCUGCGGCGACGGGAUCGGGCUGGGGGUCCACGCCGGACGCGACGUCUCGACGUCGUCGUGGGAGAAGCAGAGGCGCUGGUCGGCGGCUUCUGCGCGGCGGCGGGAGGAGAGGCGGCGCCGACGGAGAAGAACACGCGCGGCGCUGGUGCCGGCGCCGGUUGCGCUUCCGCCUCCCCUUCCUGCGCUCUGCCGCUCGGCCUCCCCUUCUUCUUCUUCGCCGUUGUCUUCUUCUCCGCAUCCAGCCCGACCCCGUUCACAGCGGCCGCUGCCGCCGCGGCGACGGGAUCGGGCUGGGGUCCGCGGCGGCGGAGGAGAGGAGGAGGGGGUCGCGAGCGGUGGAGAGAAGGGUGAGGAGGGAGGCGACGGUGAAGAAGAAGGCGACGGUGGGAGGCGACGGUCCGAUCCGCCUCUUUUUUUUCGAGAAAAAAAAAAAAAGAACGACAGAAACGAAGAGGAGAGAGAAAGAGGAAAGAGAAAAAAGUAAUAAGGGUAUUUUGGUCAGUUUGUUGAAAAAGCGGACCAAAUCUGCAAAAACGAAAAAGGUGACCCGAUUUUGCAAAAGUCCAAAAUAAGUGGAUUUUUUAUGCAAAAAGACCUUAAAAAUAUGUAAUGAUAAAGAAGUUUUUAUAUAAAUAAUUUACAAGUAUGUUAUAUAGUUGCUCGCACAAUAUUUUAUAGGGACAAAAUCUUGAAUAAUUCGAAAGUAUUUUGUUUCUCUUUUAAAUACGACAGCAAACUGGGAACGUAUAUAAUACGACGAAUUUCAAUUAUUUAAGAGGAAUAUACAAAUUUAUUAAUAUAUUAAUUAAUUAUUCAUGAGAGCCCAAAUUGUGGAACUCCUUUUGCCCGUUCUUUUCCCUUCUAUUUCAUUCCUUUAUAUUAUUAUAUUAAUAACAAUUUGACUGCAAGAUAAGAUGGAGACGUGGGCGAAUAUUCUAGAUUAGAUUUUUGACGCCUGGAAGAUCUGACCGACCGAUACAAAGAUUAGAGCAUUCCACGCGCAAAGGAGAAAGAAGAAGAUCGAAACGGAUGGAGACCUCCGAUGCAUGGGCUUUGAACACCUCGCAAAUUCCGUGUUUUUUUUCUAUUUCACGAGGAUGAUUAUUAUUUUGAUUAAUUAAAUUAAUACUUUUUUUUAGCGAUAGGUUAUCUAUCACUUUCUUUCAUUUUGGAUAUUCUUACGUAAGGUAAUCUAAUUAAACCCAAAGCCCGCGCCUAAUUCAGUACGUAGUUGCCUAUUCCUACAUUUUGAUUAUCCCCCAGCUAUAUCCAAAUGCACAAUUAAUUGUGAAUUUUAUUUUAAACCGGCUGUCCCUAAAACAAGUGGCAAAAGACUAGAUGGUUGGUAUCCGAGGUUUUAAGUUUGAAUCUCAGUUGAUUUAUAUUUCCAGCUAAAUUUAUUUCUAAAUUAAAUAAACGAAAGGAGAAGCAUGCUACCUUCCUCUCACGGAAAUAUAUCGAGAAAAGUUUAUUGAGAAAUUUUUUUUUAUGAAUUCUAAAAAAAUUAACCUUUUUUUCUUAAAAAAAAAACUAGCAUAUUAUAAGUUUUGUAUACACCAGAUAUUAUCAUACGCUGUGGCAGAGACUGGGCCAUAUUGGAUCAGAAUCCGACAUUUUAUAAUCAAGUCUCACAUUAGCUUAUAAUUUAGUUGCCGUAAUGUAUUAAGAAUCUGCUAACCAGCUAAUCUUACGGCCUUUUCUAGUAUAUAUAUCUCCGGUCACUGAGAAGCCACGACACUCUUGUAGAUUCUGAAUUAAUUAAAUUUCUCAGAAUCUAACUCAUUAAUGAAUUAUUUGGUUGCAUAGUUAUUUGUAUUGCAAAUCUUCGCGCAUGUACAACCAUUUCUACUGUUUGGUUAAUUGCUAUCGAACUGCAAUAGCUACAAUUGUGUAAAAAGGGUUAAACUGCAGUAGAUAGGAUAAUUUUACCAUUCUCUAUAUAAAAUAAUAAAAUUUGUAGAGCUAGGCUAGUAUUCUAUCGGUAGCACGGAGGCCUCCGUGCUACCAAGUUGUUUUCAGUGACCUAGCUUUCAAAUCGACGAUCGACUCCGUUAGAUUUGAUUUACACUAUUAAAAAUAUUAAAAAACUAAAUUUCAUAAUUUUUCGGCAUUAUUUGACUAGUGAUCAAAAGGUUUCAAAAUUGACAAUUUUAAUGAUUGAUGUGAUGCAUUUGUGAAUUUAACGGUGUAAAACAAUCCAAAUCUGAUAAAAUUUUUACAGAAAUUUUUUUUCACUAUUUAGAGUAAGAUCAGUACCCCGAUCUUAAAUUCAAGUCUUUUAUCAUCAUUUUUUUUCAGAUUUUUAUUUUCAGCCGUUCAUUUUUAGAUUAUUCAUUUGAUAGGUAAAUGAUGCCGAAAAAUUAUGAAAUUUAGUUUUCAAAUACUUUUAAUAGUGUAGAUCAAGUCUAACGGAGCCGAUCGUCGAUUUGAAAGCUAGAUCAUUGAAAACAACUUGGUAGUACGGAGGCCUCCGUGCUACCGAUAGUAUGCCGGGCCAGCUCAAAUUUGUAAAUAUAAUUUCUGCCCAGUGGCAAUCAAGCUAAUUAUUAAUUUAUAAUUAUAAUAUUAUUUACUAUAUUAGAUCCAACCAAAUAAGAUAGAUAUAAAUACAUAUAAAAAGGGUUUAAUCGGCCUGGCUCCACUCGCCGAACGAGUAAACUUUCUCAGCGAGUAAGUUUUGAAAUCACAAAAAAAAAUCAAACAUGUCACAUUUGCUCAGAAGAAACUAUUUGUGAUGAUCUCUCUUUUAAUUUUACAUUCGUAUGCAACAUUUCGUCUGCAAAUUAUCUAAUUGAAUUAAAUAAAUGAUGCAGGCAAAUUGCAAACAAUUCAGGGCCAACUGGUAAGCAACCUUGCAGCCCUCUGCCAACAUAUUUCCGCGGCUCUCGACAUAUCGAUAAAAAUAACAUCACAACUGGGUGCAUUCUGCCAUGUCAUUGCGUCAGCUCACGGAUAAGCAGGAAGCCAUGGAGAGCAUAAAGAGCCAGUUGCGGCAGUACUUCAGCUGUCGAGAUCAUGCCGCAUUUUGAUGCUUGUUGCGCAUUGCGGCUGCCUCUUGUUCCAGCUGAGAAUCCAUCCUCAGCUCCUCGAAACAAGAGAUGUAUGGUGGUUAAUUCUUCUUCGCCUUUUCCCUUGCUUCCUUUUAGCUAACUUCAGAUAGUGUUUCUUCUAAUUCCAGUUGUUCUUUAUCAUCAGGAUGUUGCAGAGCGCAGCGACGACAGUGUUGUCGAUACGCCCGCUGUUGGUUUUGCUAGCGCAGUCAUCUGACUGUUGUUGGAAUCCUAUCAAACUCAUUGCCGGUACAAUCAUCUUUGCUUGCAAGAACAGAAUUGUAAGACAAGAUCUUCUUCUUUAUAGACUCUAUGUAUGUCUGGCUGUUGCAUGAAUAAAAAGAACAAUGCUUUUAUUUUCUGUCAUCCUCUUCCAUUGCAGGAUAUUACAUUUACUCAAAUCUCCAUGUUUGUGGUGAGACCAACAGUUUAAAGAUCGCCCUCUUCUUUAUUCAGAUAAUGAAGAUUAUCAAAAUUUCACUUUAUACUUAUAAACUUACAAUUUUUUUUAAAAAAAAAAUUGCGUAAAUGAUCAGAUUCCAGUAACUUUGAUUGUGGCAUGGAUCAAGGGUGUCCAAAUGGAUCUUGACUUCGAUCUCCUUGAAACUGCAUCACUGGUUAUGUCGUUUCUGAUUACUGCCUCCAUGCUUCAGGUAACGUCGAAAAGAUCAUUCACUUCUAAAACUUCAAUUCGAAAAUCCAUGUGCUAUUCCUGUAUAAUUUGUUGAUCUGAAGAAUGGUUUUCUUUAUCCAAUUUAAACAUAAUUAGAAUCAAUGAAAAUAAGCAAACAACAAAGGUAUAACUGUUAACAUACGCAUGAAACUGUCGUUGGUGCGAAUGAUGAGAGAUAAUUAACUAAAGAGAGGUGCAGUACUCAUACUAAUAACUACGCAUUUUUGGAAAUUUUUCUUCACAUAUCGUCAUACAUAGUUGAAUGUCUAGAUCUUUUCGAUGGAAAGGCCUUUAAGUUGAACAAAUACUAAUUCACCUGGAAUAAUGUUUUGUUUCUGAAAAUCAAACAUUGCACAAUACAUCUCAAUAAUGUCAGCAAGGUACGUAGUUUCUUGGUUAAGCAGUCCAUAACACAGGUCUACUUUCGUAGGAUGGGAAUUGGCACCUCAUGAAGGGAUUUCUACUCUUGUUUUCGUAUGUUCUCAUCGCGACGUGCUUUUUCAUUCUAAAACCUCUUCAGGUAAGUGUAUAUACUAUAAGAAGGAAAGGGAAUUAUUGUUUUCACUUAAUUAACAAUAUCAAUUUUUUCGGUUUCAUUUGUGUUUGAUUACAGAGCUAGCUUGGACAGCUAAGUCAUUGAAGAACAGCAGUUUGUAAGUUCGACCUGAGCACGGAUCAAUCCCAGCAAACCAUGCAUGAAAGUGGCAUGAUCUCCAUUGAAUAUAAUGUUGCAGCAAUCAAGGAAGGAACAAGAACCAUGCUGUAGAAUGGGGUCAAUUCACUACCCUAUAUAUAAAUAUGUAACCUCAAAAAGCUCCAUAAGAGUUAUUGUUACUAUCAUUGUUCUUCCAUGGCUUUAUCUUACUAAGAAAAGCAUAAUCCAGCAGCUUCUAGACCCCCUUAGAACCAAUUAUCCGAUGAACACAGCAUGAAGAGUUUCUUUUGCUGUGCUUCUUUUUUUUUGUCUCGAUUCCGUAUUCCAGGUGAUUAAUUACCAUAGGUCUAAGUAGUAGCAAGUUCACGACAAUUCGUUAAGCCUUAUAUACAUAAGUCGAAUAAUCGAGUACAGAAUCAUGCGGCGAGGAAAUUUAGAACAGAUUAGUUGAAACAAAACUAAUGCAGGAUAAGGCCUGAUCUAUUCCACAUGUGGGUCAAAGAUGUAACAUACUUAAUAAAAUUCAUACAACCUAAAAGAUUUAAGUUUGUUAAUUCUAAAUCUAUUAGUACACAUUAAUACGUAACGUUUUCUAUUAAUUAUCUCAUAUGAGUCCUCUUAACAUUUCAUUUCCAGCUACGGAGCCUAUGCCUGCACAAAACGGGCAUCACUUUCUCCUUUCGGGACCCUGCAAAACUGCUUUUCCCUUUUAUCAUGCGCGCACCUUAAAAAUGCACCGUAGACACGCAAAAACUCACCAAAAAGCUUUAAUUUCCUGCGCAUCCUCGGCACAGCACUGUUCCCACGUACGAGCAAUUAAUUAUUAAUGGCAUGGCCUUUGGGCCCGUCAAUGCAUGGCCCAGCUCCCAAGAUGUAAAUACACAACAGGGAGGCAUUGAAACGAAAUAUGGCAAAGUCGCUUUAUAUACACACACAGCUACAAGAGCAGUAGCACGUAGAUGACUCUGGCAUAUUAUCUUAAUUUAUUAAAAUAAAAAAUUUAUAUAUACGAUAAAGGGUUAAUUUGAUACAGAUUCAUACAAAUAUAGUAAAUGAUAAAUAUAUUUCUAUAAAAUUUAAUUUUUAUAUAUUGUUCCUAUAAAAGUUCUGAUAUUUUCAAAUAUAUUCUUUUAGUUUAUCACCGUUAAAGAACCGUUAGAGAACUGUUUAUUUUUUCAAUUUUUUCAUCACAAAUAUGUUCUUUCAAAAAGCAUAACAAUAUAAUAUAAGAGAAAUAAAAAUGUAAAAAAACUAAUCAAAAUUAAAUAUUUAAUUUAUGUUUAACUAAUUUUUUUUCUAAUAGAUUUUAGCAUUAUGGACAUAUUUGAAAAUAUUAGAAUUUUUACAGCGAUAAUAUAAAUAUAGUAAAUGACAAAUAUAUUCUUAUAAAGUUUAACUAAUUUUUUUUCUAAUAGAUUUUAGCAUUAUGGACAUAUUUGAAAAUAUUAGAAUUUUUACAGCGAUAAUAUAUGAAAGUUAAACUUUAUAAGAAUAUAUUUGUCAUUUACUAUAUUUAUAGAGAGCUGUAUGAAAUUAAUCCUACGAUAAAUAUACGAUGUAAUCAAAUGAUUGGAAUGGAAUAUCAUAUUCAGUAUUCAAGUUAUUUUUUUAAAAUAAAAUAAAUCACCUCAUAAAAAGUAUUCUAAAAACAAAACUUUUGAAUAAAUAAAAAUAAAACUUUUUAAUUACAAUUAUACUAGAAAAAUCUCAUAUGAAUAAAUUAUUCUACAAUCAGACAGAGACAUGAUUUGUGACCUCUAACACUGACGAAUCUCGGAGACUUGCACUGCAAUUGUACUAUAUAUAUAUAUAUUUUUCCUUUGAAAUUCAUGUACAAGCAUAUAUAAACAUCGGUAAAUAACUAAGUAUAUUUAUUUCUAAACUUUCAAUUUUCAUAAGAAUUAACUUAUUCUAAAGUUUAUCAAAUAUUUUAAAUAUUUCUUUUUGUAGUAAGCUUACUAAUUGAGCAGGUAUACUAGUAGCACUUUGUAAAUGAUCCAGUGAUUGUUAAGCAAUUCCGGCAAUUGAAAUGGAGAGAAACAAGAAAAGGAGCGCUGAUGUGUCGUUCGGAAUCUACGCCGAACUGCACAUGGAAGAAGAUUGCCAAAUUCUUCGCGGAGUUGAUGGGUGGUGGGAAGGCGGGCGGAGAUAUGGGUUUGUCGGAUUGCAGACUUGUCCAGUCCUCUCCACCCCCCCGAGGGGAGGAGCUUUUCUUGUCUGUAAUAUUCUCCGGUGCAAAUUAACUUCAUUACCCAAAAUAAAAAAUAAAAAAAAAUAGUGGAGUGAUCUAGAACUGUAAAAUUAGUGCGAGUGGGAAAAAAACUAAAAUAAAAAGUGCUUGAUAAGGUUUUACACUUCCUUUAGACAAAUAGAAGAAAGAAAGAAAGAAAAAAAGACAAAUUAGAAUAGUUUUUUUAUUAUUAUUCUUCUAUUUAUUUAUCCAAAUAAGACCGAGGAAAUAAUGAAGGAACAGUAGUGCGUACAUGUACCUGAAUAUUUCAUUUGAGAUGUUGGUUUUGCGCCGCGCGAGUACUGCUUAGAGCACAAUUGGCUUAAUUUAGAUCUGUUUGAACUCGAUCUGUUCGGAGAGGAAGUUAAACAUAAAGAGAGUCAAGGUUAGGGGAGGCGCUACAUGUGUCACUUUAAAAACUAUGUUAUCUAUAUGUGCACCAAAUCUUCAUAUGAUGAGAUGAUGAUACGGGAAGAGGGAGUGAGGGUCAUGCAUGAUCUUGCGCAAGACCGCACAGCUUAACCAUAAUCAGCGCAUCGACGUUCAGGCCUAUCCUCUUCUUCUGCUUCUUCUUCUUCUUCUUCUUCUUCUUCUUGUCGCUCGACCGAUUCUAUAUAUUACUGAUGAAUAUGGAUAUAUGGAUAGGCCGGCACGACGAUGCGGUGUCAUAUGGAAGCGUUGCGCGGUCUUGAGCAAAAACAUGCAUCCCAACAUGCGAAAGAUAGAGAUUUUAGCGAGAGAGAGAGAGAGAGAGAGAGAGAGAGAGAGAGAGAGAGAGUCUCCCUUUAUACGGCAGCAGUCCUCGCUGGAUUGCGACCUGCAGUCAUGGCCUUUGAGCUUGAGAGUGGAAGACUGGUAGAGAUGAAGUUGAGGGGGGCAAAGAAGUAGGAAAAUAAGUGCAAUUUAUGGAUCUAAGCCCCCCACAUCCCUCCCUUAAGUUGCACCUUUUCUAUCUACUAAUUACUUUGCUUUAACAUUAUUGGCAAAUUUUAUUUGGCUCUAUUUCUGUCAUUUGUUUUAGCGGUAAUUAUUUACAGUAAAUAUUUUAAUAAUAAUAAAACAAAUUGAAACCUUUACAGCAGCAGAAUUGGAAAUAUGAUUUUGAGUGUGAAAAAAUAAGAAGAUCAGAAUUGCAGAUUCCACUUUUUUUAAAAAAUUAAGUUGCUGAAAGGAAAUUUAUUAUAGUGCUUCUUCUAAUAUUACUUUACGUUCAAGAGAAAUUUCAUUGUACUACUCCAAUAGCAACAUACCACACACACAACAUUGCGCCUGUAGGACCACAAGCCUCAAUCGACUUCUACUGACUCGAUAGCUUUGACAUAUUUAAGCAGAUCAAAUGAUCAUUUCAAUUCAAGUAAAAUUUGUACGAUAGUCUCUUAAAUCACACAUACGCUAUAAUUUGAUAUGCACGUAAUUGUGAGUGAGUACAGCAAAAUUCUUCGUAUUAAUUAACACGGGACCACAGUAAUUAUAUCGUGCGCGAUUGGCAGUUCCGGAUUCAUUAUACCGCAACUCGACCAUCCCAUCCCCGCCUACUCGGUGUCUGGUUCGAAUCAGUUUCGACAAGCCGCACCACUCCCCAAUUAUUGCGCACCUGAAAAUUUACGUCCCGGGGUGAGCGUGUGUAAACCUCCUAUCGAGAUCGUUAAUUCCAACACACCCUGGUCUCUUCGCUUGUGCACUCCCUGCCGGAUGCACUUCGUGCGUCUAACUGUUUUUGAUGCUUGGGUCGGACUAUUGCUGGCGCUACGAAAGGAGAACGUAGUCGAGCAUUAUUUUUCGUAGCCGUGCACGCUGCAGCGUGCGAGCAGGUGAGAGGAGCACGGAAAGUAGGUACACCUAGCUUUGCAUAAGAAACAAGCUAGCUCUCUUGCACACCACACGUAGCACACGCACGCAAAAAAAAAAAAAAAAAAAAAAAAAAAAAUGUACACCUUUAACGAGCUCUUNCCCCCCCCCCCCCCCCCCCCCUUUGCUUCUCUCACGUCCUUAUCCAACACCACCUUAGAAGCAAUGCAAUGCAAAGCAAAAAGUGGUUUAAAGUUUAUACCGACCGCACCUAAUGCAGUUUGGCUAUAAAUUUAAUGGUCGGUAUUUAAAAUUUCAAGUUUAAUAUUUAAUUACUUUAUAUAAAAAUUAUAAAAAAAACAAACAUAAAGUUAUACUGUUUUAAAUGAAGAAUAUGGAGAAUUUAAUCUAAGGCCGUUUGAAUUGAAGAGGCUACGAAACAAUAUCGUCAGAAAACUUUUUGUAGUAUAGCUAGCGGAUUUACAGUUUAGUAUCCUACAAAUGGCUCAGAGUUACAUCCUUACCAUUCUGUGGUUUUUAAAUAUUGUUUCCCGGUAACCUGCCCUCAAAUGUGACGGUAAGUUUCCCAUUUUACAAAAAUGUCAAUUAGUAGUACUGUAAUUUUCUUACUAUGUAACUUAUAAAAUGUAGAUUUUGCUAUUGUGUAUUUGUUCCACUGAAAAAUGGAGAGGGUUGAAAUGGUUUAAGACGGUAAAUAUCAACUUUCAUUGUUUAAUUUAUCAUAACUUUAUCUUCGGCUGAAACUCAAGCUCUCUAAAAUAACGUACGAAAAAAAUGAGAACAAAAUAAACAAAAAUAUUAACUAAUUUUUCAUAUCUCCGGUUUUUACACUAUUCACUUCUUGCCAAAUAAAUAGGAUAACUAAAAAAAUUUUAAUUUUACAGCUACACAAACAAACAGUAGUUUUUUAUUUUUUUAUUUUUUAACAUCUACUCUAUUUUAACUCAAAAAUUUAGCAUAAAUUGAGUUUUAUUUUCGGUGAAGCAAACACGUGGUCGAUGACUAGAGAAUAGUAAUAAGUGCAUAUGAACUGCACUGGGAGGGAGGAGCUAGGGUGAAGCGUUCUCUUGCUUUUUGAAUGCUUGAAACUUAAAUUUCUAAGCUUACCCCAACCCUUUCUCUCUCUCUCUCUCUCUCUCUCUCUCAUCUUUAAAGGGGCCAACUGUGAAAAAGUUACUAUGAAUAGUGUGUACUGGUGGACUUUUAAGAGAAGGCCAGUUUUCCAUGGGAAGUGGAGCCAUAAUAUGAGGCAGGAUAUGAUCAGAAGAGUGGUGAUCAUAUUCAUGGCAGGGGCUAAUUAGUCUCUGUUGACAUAAGACAAUUUAGGGUGCACAAAUGAUGAAAGGGGAAAGAAACUUUUGCAGACACCUUGUCGAGAAAGGUGCCCAUCUGAUGAAGGGCACAACCCCUGGAUUCAUUGAGUAGCUAGGGCUCUUCUCCUUCUGUGAUGGGUGGCUGUAGGGUCAUCAUUCCUUUCAUUGUGUUAUAUAUCCAGCAGCUGCAGGUCCUCUACUAUUUGCUAAUUAACUAGGUUGGAGUAGGUUAAUUUUCUAAGCAUAUCUCAUUCUAACCAAACAAACAAGCACUUUUUUUUUUGUGAAAGAGAGAGAAAAUAGCAAGUUAUUUGUUUCGUUUAUUUUUUUAAAAAAUAAAUAUUAAUAAAAAUGUAAAAUGAUUAAACAUCAAAUUUGAAAUAUUAAGUUCUCAGCCAAUCGCACCAGCUACAGUUGAUAACAAGAGUUAAUAUACUUCCAAAUGAUUUGGUGGUUGGUACCCGAUGUCCCAAGUUCAAAUUCUAAUUGAUUCACAUUUCCAGUUAAGUUUAUUUCUAAAUGAAAUAAACAAAGCGGGUAGCGCGCUAUCUAUCUCUCAAAAAAAUAUACUUCGAAAUGACACUACGCUAGCUCCAACUUUAAAAAUGAACUCCGAGUACUAGGCUGAUUAAUUUGCCGUAUUUCUUCGAGCAAGGUGAUUGUUUGUGUAUAUUGUAGGUAGAAGCUGCUAAAAUAUAAAUGCAUGUAUACGAAUAUACAGAAGCGAUAUAUAUAUUACUGCAUAUGCAUAUUUAGAAAUAAAAAGUUUAAACAAGAGGAAAUUUUUCUUUUUAAUUGAUUCAUGAGCAGUCCCGUUCACAACAUCUCCGUCCCCGCUUAUACAGUAGUUCUUAAAAACCUAGUCAAAACCGUAGGUGUUUUCCCCUGCAUCAGUCCUCUAAUUACAAGACCAAAGAAUAGUCAAUUCGACUUGUAAUGUGGUGAACCACAUGAUUAACUAUAUGAAAUUAAUAUCAUAUCAUUUUACAAACCACGCCCAUUAACGUCAUGAAUUAAUUUUGUAUCAUUUUUCAACAAAUAUCAGACCCGUCUGGUUCGUUAACUUUUCUUGAACAAGUUCAUUUGACAUGACCGGCCUUACAUAUUGAUACAACGACCAAAGGUAUUAAGCAAGCUGAGUUAUGUCUAUAUAUACGGAGCACUAAAGUUGUUUACUUCCCCGUUAUUUCCGGUGAUAGAUUAGUCAACAAUUUACACGGUUAAAUUUAAUCCAAAUUAUUUAAAUUUUUUAAUUUUUUAAUUUUAUAGUAUUAUUUGUUUAUUAGCCAAAUGAAUCAAAUGAUCUCAAAAUUAAAAAAUUUCAAUAGGUCAUAUAUAAGUGAAUUUAAGACUAGCUACUUGACACUAGGAUAAUAACAUUUCAAAACCAUAAAAUUUAAUUUCUAAAAACAUUAAAUAAUUUAAAUCGUGCUUGACAGUGCCAACUAUCAAUUUGGAUUUUGCAUUGCCAAAAAAUGAUGUGAGAGUGAGCUCUCGCGUUUAUUUUUAAAAACUUGUUAUUGUAUCAUGGGCUCAAUCGCUAGUUUAUUGGAUCGCAACCAAGAUACCUAAGGAUAUGUUUGGUAUUGAUCACCAUAUAACACUUUAGGCUAAAUACAUAAUACAUAUAGAAUGAAAAUAAUAAAUCAGUGGAUUCGCGAAAAUUAUAGCAUAAGGGAAUCAACAAAAGCACAAUAUAAUAUUACAUAUGAAUUUAUUGUGUUUUCUCACCAAUCUCCCUGAAGUGCAAGUAUGCUACAAUUGCUGGCUAGUUCUUUCGCAGCCUUAUUUCACAAAUAAAAAGGAGAGAGGCCGUCUCUGGCAUAAAAGGUAAAGAAUUUUGUGUUUGAUACUCGAGAUUCUAUAUUCGAAUUCUGGUGUAUUCAUAUUUGUACUUAAGUUUAUUUCUAAAAUUUUAAACUAAACGAAUAAUAUGCCAUAUAUAUUUUUUUUUUAAAUCAAGAGGAGAGAGCAUCAAGACAAAAGACCGGGUCAAAAGGAAAUAAAAGCAAAAUAAUAUUUUUUUUUUUUAAAAAAAAGUUUGAUGGCUGGAAGCUUCUCAAAUUUAUGGCUGCUCGAAGUCUCGAACGCGUCGCACGCGGUUGAGACUCGUAAAUUAAUUCAGCGUAGGAAUCUUCGGCCCAGCCCAGUGGGACGGGAAAUGGAUUCAUGCACCCGGUGCACCCACACAAUUCUGCACCAGCAAUAUAUGUUAUGCUACAUACAUGGCCCCCAUCAGUCCCCCGUUUAUUAGUUGCGCAAUCAAUUGGGCUGUUAAAUCCCCAUUUUAUCUAACUUCUUAAUUUUUUGCUGAUGUAUAACUAAUGUCAUGUGAUGAAGUAAUAAAUAGCAGUAAGCUACAAAUAACAUUUUAAAAUGGAUAGAAUUUUGAGUUUGCUUUCAUAUAAUACCAUCUAAAAUAUUAUUCGACAUAAGACGAAUUUAAUAUAUAUAUUAAUAACAUUUCGACUAAAUUACAUAUCUGGUUCUAAAAUUAUAAGAUACGUGUAUUAUGAUUCUCAAUAAUUUAAUUGAUUAAAUAUUAACACCAUAAUCGAUGACGCAAUAAUAAUUAAAACGUCUUGCCUCUUUUAUACCGGUAACAAACGGUUCAGUACAUCAAUAUUUAGCCAAAUAAAAUUUUAUUGACACAGUUUAUAAAAUUUCGUAGAUAUAAUGUCGGAUCAUUGGCGCUAACUAUUAAUCCCAAAAACUCGAGCUGUCAAAAAUAAGCAACCAAUUUACUUAAAGCGUACAGAUACAGCGCCCGCGAGUAUGACUCGGUCCAAUCAGUCUCACGCCACUUCGAACAUGACUCGAUCCAACCGGCCUCACGCCACUUGGAACAAGACUCGGCCUAACCGGCCUCACGCCAUUUCGAACAUGACUUAGCAUAACAUGACCUCCUGUCACAGAACAGGAUGCUUGCUCAUUUAAGCCAACAUGUAGGAGUGGACCGGGAGCAGGCAAUAACUUGGGAAGCAAGACUCGGACAGGAGGGACUAGUGGAUGAGCCUCUGCGGCCCUGGUUUCACUUCGUCGCCCAUUUCUCGACUCCUCGUGCGUUCGUCGGCGACGCCAUGAAAAAAUCGGUAGGAAGGAGUGUCAAGAAGGAAGAAGCAAAAGGAGGAGGAGGAGGGGGAGAUGUUGGCACAGCAGAAGGGAGCGGUGGUGAUGUGGCGAUGGGGAAGAUAGCGGCCGAAGUUGGGGAAAUAAUGGAGGGAGGAGCGCAUCCUUACGAUUUCCGCGUCUCCGGCCCUCGCAACCUCCCCUCCCCUAACUGGAGAGAUCUCAUCAGUUCUAACUGGUAAUUCUCUAUUUGAUCGGUUUUAUUAUUUUUUUUCCUGAUUGAUUCAGAAUGGUGUUCGGUUCCCAAUGCAGAACAAUGUGUGGUUUCGUUCAUUCCCUGCAUAAACAGUUGCAUCAAUCUCAAUCCUGUUUGUUUAAUAGGUUAAAAGAUUUGCAGUAGUUGUUGUUCAUAAUUGUCGAGUUUUCGGAUGCGAAAUGCACAAAAGUGUAGUUGCUGGAUGAUGCUGGUUUUGUUUAAUAAAAUAAGAUUGUAUAAAUUGAAUAGGUUGCAUGGUAAAAAAAACUAUGUAGUAUGAACUUUGGUUGCCCUGCUAAAGAAGUAAAUCUCUUUUAUCUAGUUCACGAAUUGCUUUUUAAGUUGCAUUUCCAUGAGACAUGCCUGUUUAUUUUAGUGAAGUUUUAUAUCCGAAUAUCCCAAGUAUAUUCUGAACAUAUCUGGGGCGGUAAUUGAGUUCAAGAUCAAAAUUGACGCAGUAUUUCGUGCGAGAAGGUAACUUGGUCCUCUGAAAUUUAAAAAAAAGUAUAGCAUGCUUUUUGAGUCCCGGACCUCAUUCGCUUUCAAUUUUAAGUGCAGACGCAGGUUCAUAACUGAGCAGUGCUUAUACUUGCAGGAGGGAUCCGAAAUACAAGCGGAUGGCGAUAUCAUGCUUCGUACAGGUUGCGUACUUGCUCGAGCUAGAUAGGCAAGAAAACAGAAUGGGCGAUGACGGUCUCGCCCCGAAGUGGUGGAAGCCUUUCAAGUAUAAGCUGGUGCAGGUUCUCGUUGACGAAAGAGACGGUUCGAUUUAUGGCGCCGUUCUUGAAUGGGACCGCUUGGCUGCCAUGUCCGAUCUCGUGGUAAUGAGACCGCUUGGUGCCCCCAGAGCCGUGCUUGCGCUCAGGGGAACGCUUCUGAAGAGCCCUACUGCGAGAAGAGAUAUCGAGGAUGAUCUUCGGUACCUGGCAUGGGAGAGCUUGAAGGGCUCGGUGCGCUUUAAUGGAGCUCUGGAUGCGGUGAAGCAUGCCAUCGAGAGAUAUGGAGGUAACAAUGUGUGCAUAGGCGGGCACUCGCUGGGAGCCAGCUUUGCGCUUCAGGUCGGCAAAGCCCUUGCAAAGGAAGGUGUAUUCGUGGAGUGCCAUCUGUUCAAUCCCCCGUCGGUUUCGCUUGCCAUGACCCUACGGAUUGCGGGGGAGAAGGCUGGCAAAGCCUGGAAGCAAUUUAGAGCCGCGAGGGCUUCCAGCGAUGGAAUUGUUGCUGCAGCUGCAGUAGAAGGGAAUAGAGUACGUGCAGAAGCUGAGAAAUGGAUGCCGUAUUUGUACGUGAAUAACAGCGACUACAUUUGCUGCUACUAUACAGAUCGCUCGGGAGCUGCAACUGAUACUUCUCCCGACAAACCAGAAACGACAGGUAGUAGCAGUGCUGCUGCUGCAGCCGCAAAGCGGAUUCUGUUGUCUAAAGGGCCAAAGAAGUUUCUAGAAGCUCAUGGGUUGCAGCAAUGGUGGUCUGACGAUAUUGAGUUGCAAACGGUUGUCCACGACAGCAAGCUCCUGAACAGGCAGCUAAGGUCGCUGUAUACCGCCAACCCGCAGCACUAACACCUAUAUAAGGCAGCUAGUGUUUUUCUUCUUUGGAGUUCCUUGCACAAGCAGGAUUGAUUGUAAAGAUUUAGUUCAUGUGGGAGGAAAAUGCGACAUGCACCUCGCAACUGUAAUUACUUCUUUUUAAGUCAGUGUUCUAUUUGAAAUCGAGUUACUAUUGCAUGUGGUUAGCCAAAUCAUGAUCCUAGCGUUUGCUGCUAUAUUACUCAUGGUAACAAUCUUGAAUUGCUUUGUUUCCUGCGUCGAGCAACCACAGGUUAAUUCAUAAAGGAACUAGUAUUAACAUAUAUAGUGCAAUCGCGCAUACAUGGUGAAUAAUAAUAUCUCCAAUUAUGGCUUGCUUAUUGAUGCUUUUUCUUGACAAUUAUCACAAUAUAAAUCUCAACCUAUAAUACAUGCCAAAUUUAUCACUCUGCAACAGCUCUUCUUGACAUCCAUAUUAACAAUCAAAGAUACAGGGGAGAAAUGUAACUCAAAUGGGAAAAAAAGAAGGGAUAAACCAUAAUCACACAAUACUAUAUAUCAUCGAUCAGAAGAGAUUACUUUUGCUUGAUAGAACUGAAUAAAUCCUUGAUUGAGCGAUUUGGAGUGUCAGCACGUGCAACAAUCUCAACAACUUUGUAGAAGGACUCUGGGCACUCCAACGCUUCGACUGCAACAUCUGCCACCUGAUCUCUGGAUAUUGAACCUUCAUAGAGCGUAUCCUACAAAGCAUGUCGAUCGAAAUUCAGGGGAACUUCAAAAAUACGACCGAAAGAGCUAGAGGCAAUUCGAAAUUAAUCAAAAGUUACCUCCGGUUCCAUGAUUAUAUUUCCAGCAGCGGGUUCGUCCCUUAAGCCGCCGGGUCGUAUAAUUGUGUAAUUAAUACCAGAUUUUCUAACGUAUUGCUCGGCCUGCAGUUUUGCUAUUAAUGUCAGUCCAAACACAUUGAGAACAAUAUAAGCUGGAUUCAGGAUUUGGCCCAUCGCCGCUCCAUUGACCAGAAUUGAACUGAUAAGUAUGAAUCUGUUCACCCCAGCUUUCCGACAUGCCUCCACGAGGUUCACCGUGCCGAGGUUGUCUACCUACAUCCAAAUGCUUCUCUGUUUGUUAUGGUCUAGUAAACCUUCUGAUAUGGUAAAUUGAAACUCAGAACGACUUAGCGGCUAUGCAUCUGCAGCAAAUGUCAUCUCAAUUAUGGUUUUCAUGAUUUGAGUCUGCCAUGCAUGCUUCACCUGAGAAAGGAGUUUUUUUUUUUUUUUUUUUUUUUUUUUUUUUUUUUUUUUUUUUUAUCGACUAGAUGUGUCUCAAAUUCUUAGUAGACCUGACUCACUUCAAACUGCGCAGCUUGACAAAAUUCGGCUCACAUUAUGUUGCGGCUUUGACAAAAUUCGGAGAGAUUGUAAACGAAAAAUUUAUUGGGGUUUCGCGCUGUUCAUUGUAAUGAGCUGCACUUCUCCACGAGUGUAAACUCAACUAGCUAGCAUCAAUCCUAAUUCAACAUGUCCAAAGCAUCGAAGCAUUAUAUACAUUUUCACAGGAAUCUCUUCAAAACUAACCUUCCAGGGGGCAAAAAGAUCCCACGAUCGCCUGAAUCCUGUAGCGCAAACCACGGCGUCGGCGCCGCCAAUCGCCUGGGCCAACUUGUCCGCCCCCUCCGUGACGUCGGCCCUCACCUGCCCGAGAAUUCAGAGAGAUCAACAGAAAUCCAACUUCAAAAAGCUAAAAAAAAUUUCUGGAGCUUUUGCCGAAACUGACGAGCUGCAGGUCGGGGCUCUGAGGGAGGCUGCUUCCGGCCCUGUCGAGGUCGGUGGCGCCCGCCCUGACGGCAAACCCUCUGGACAGCAACUUCUCCACGAUUCUCCUGCCAGUCCGCCCCGUCGACCCCGCUACAAAAAUAUUCCUCUUCUUCUUCUCCUCCUCCCCCUCCUUCUCCUCCUCGAGCUCUAUCGCGUCGGAGCUCGUAGCCAUAGCCUGCAUCUUCGGAGGCGAAAAUUUGAUGACAACGGGGAAGGCGAGAGUUGAGUAAGGGAUAAUAAUUCUACGGAGAGCAAGCAUUAUCUUUUUUUUUUUUUAUUUUUUAUUUUUUAAUCAACGUUUUCAGCGUAUUCGCUUCUGUAUCGCCUAUCCCUCACUCGUUUGUAAAUCGAAUGCUCGAGUUUGGGUCGUAAUUAACCGAACUCGAAUACGAUCCAAUCCACACUAUUGUGAGCGAUUCUGAAUGGAGUAGGCUCCUCAUUUGUAAAUUCUUUUUUAAUUUAUAUUCCCUUGGCCUUACAUUUUUGGAAUAAGAUGAUGUGAAUUAAUUAGUAAUUUCAUCAAAUUUAAUAAUUUACAUUAUUUUGGACUAAAAUUUAAUAAAAUUUUUAACUAAAUUUUUAAGAAAUGAGAAGUUGAACUGUUGAAGGGAUGCGUAUUGAAAAUUUUGAAGUUGAAGGUUCAGUUUCACAAUGGCCUAUAGUUGAGGGAUCUCCGUAUAUUUUCACCUUCUGUGAAAAUUUUUAAUAAUGGUUAAUGGAACUACAACAUGCUAUAUAUCAUGGAUUUUUUUUUUUUAUUUUUUUUAUUUUUAACUGCGUUUUCACACACCAGCUGAUCCCUCAAUAUAGGCCAUUGUUACAAUUCAGGUCCAGUCCAAAUCCAUGGAACCAAAAGAAUAUAACGUAACUAUUAAAAUACAUAUAAUUUAAAAGCUCAAAUUUUUGACCCAUUAGCAUUUAUCAGCGCUCCACUAUCUCAACAUUCCAAAUACCAAUCUUUGAAGCUAAAAAUAGUACCAUUUCUUAUCGGAUUUGCUAAUUGUAUAGAAGACGAGCUUUAUGAUUAAAUUAGAUUUUAAGAAUUGAAAAAUAACCUUGAACCAAAAUCGUAAACCGAGAAGAAUAAACCAAGAAGAAUAAACUGUUUUAUGAUUGUAAAUAAAUUAUAUAAGCACUUUAAACAACUGCCAAAAAAGCUCAGCGACAUGGUGAACAGGGUCAGCCAAAUUCGAAAAAUCAGACUACUUAAGUGGUUAACAAGAGAUCCAAGAGAAAACUUUUUGAGCGAUACAUGCUUUUCUUGUACAUCGAAUAAAGAAACUUGGAUUAGAAAAUUAAGAUGACAAUUAGUCCUUUUCUAACACACACACACCACACACAUGCGCACAACAUAAUUAUUAUCAACAUUAACCUUAUAAAAGAAAGCUAUUACAGAAGCAGACAUCAUUAGUACUAUAACCAUGAAACAUAGAGUUAAGAACCACCAAAAAGCGCGACAGCCGUAACUAUAUUAUAUAGACCUAAUUAAAGAGUAAGAGUUUCAUGCUUAAAUAAAAAGUGACAACCAGAAGAGAAAAAAAAGAAGUAGAAGAUGGAUUAGUAGUGCCAUACCCAACAUGAAAAAGAGAGAGAGAGAUAGUAACACAGUAUCAUCAUGGCAACACUAAGCCACUCCUCGCGUAAAAGGAGCAAACAAAACAAAACAAAGCAAAGCAAAGCAAAGCAAAGCACAAGACCGCACGCUACAAUGCUCGAACACCGUCGCCAACAAAGGGAGGCCCACCGCAAAGGAAAAGGAAGCAUCCUCCUCUCUCUUUGUUCCUAUUGCCCUUUUGCCCCCACUUCCAUCCCUUAUCACUAGACAAAGCACUAUUCUCCCUCCCAUCCAUUUAUCAUGAGGCAUAAAGCCGUAACGGAACGUGGGGCAGAAAAGGGCGCACCGAAUCAUCACACUGCACAAUAGCAACAGUUCAUUCUAUUAGAUUUUUAGCAAAAGAGAGUAAGAUUCCUUCUUUAAGAUUGUAACCUUGCUACAAAAGUAGUUGCAAGGGGGAAAAGAAAAGAUUUACCAUGCAUGAUUGUUACUGCUCAGCUGCCGGAGUUGUGCACUCCGAGUUUCUUUACUUCUACUUUGAGUGAUUUCAGGUACCGAACAGCUUCGUCGAGAACGGCAGGGGUAUCCAUCUGGUCUCCACCCGGGAUAAUUCCCUUAAGUGUUCUCACCAUCUUCUUCAUUCUCUCCCUCUUUCGCUCGCUGUUGCUUCCAUUGCUUCCGCUUCCGGAGGGAACAUUGUGGCUAUAAGUGGACUUCAUCUUGCCAGCCUUCCUUCCGUUUGACGACGAGCAUGACGAAUCUGGCGAGCUGCCGCUACGGUAGCUCGGGGUCCUUCCGGUGCUCACCACAUCGUCUUCCUCCCCUUCUUCCGAACUCAACAACGCAUCAAUCUCUUCCGUAUCCUCUUUGUGGUACUGAGUCGAGUAAUCUUCCUCGUAUUCGUUGUCUCUGUAAGUGCUUUUUCCCGCCUCAUGGGCAUGAGUUCCGUAGACGUUGAAGCUUGGGGACCCAAAUUUGUGGGCCAAAGAAGGGUGGAACAUGACCCUGCUUUUGUUGUACGUCUGAUCGAAGAUUACAAAGUUCUUGGGGCAGGUCUCGGAGGGCUGGAACUCGACUUGGUUAAGCGGAGCAGGAAAGUCAUGAUAAUUCCUGCCUACGAGAGAGUCGUCGAAGCCAGGGGCUACUGCAGGGACACCGUUAUUGUAAAGAGCUCCUGCAGGGGGUGGAGAGGUCGUUCCACCAAAGAAUCUAGGGUCACUCUGCAUUAGAUCGCUACUGUGUUUAGAACUUUUAUGAUGUAGUUGCUGUGAGCGAUCAAAUGGCUGUGACUACCGGAAAACCGUGGAUUUUUCUCUCGAGUUCUUGUUUGAAGCAGAGUCGCCGCUUAGCAGGUGAGGAAGGAGCUUAUCUAUCGCGCGUCUGUCAUUCCCAAGACUUUGUUUCUUCUCCCUUUGCGUUGCGAUUGAUGAAGUCUGAAACCAAAUUUUGCCGUGUGUUUGACGAGUCUAAAAGCCAAAACUGAUCACAGGUUGUCUACUGAUUCUACGUAACGGGCUUAAGUAGCUGGCGGAAGUAUUCAGCCUACAUUGGAAUACCAAAGCAUUAGUGGAACCAUAUCAUUGGAAGCACAAUAGUAUAACAUAAAACGCCUACCGUUGGAAUACCAAAGCAUUAGUGGAACCAUAUCAUUGGAAGCACAAUAAUAUAACAAAAACACUAGGUCUACAUGCAUGUAAAUUAACUUACGAAUAAACAAUAGAUAUAACAAGCAACAGAGUUUCUGCAAAUAGAUAUGAAUCAGAGCAAAUAUGUAUCCAACAGAAGUACAUUAAUCAGAAAUAAUUUUUUGUACUCGAAUCGUGGAUAACAGGGGUCAAAUAAAGUUCUAUUAAUACAUGAACACAGCGCAUAUUUAUGUCGAAUGUCUCCAUUUGAAGAAGCAAAACUUGCUUGUAGGGAGGCUACGUAACAGGCUUAAGCAACAAGCUUAACUCUGUUACAACCUUUUGAGACAAAGAUGUCGACAUAGAUACAUACAAGUAACUGACCGUCCCUAAAGCAAGUGGCAAAGGGCUUGGUGGUUGGUACCCGAGUUCCCAAGUUCGAAUCCUAAUUGAUUCACAUUUUCCAGCUAAGUUUAUUUCUAAAUGAAAUAAACGAAGCGGGUAGCGUGCUACCUAUCUCUCUCCAAAAUAAAAAAUAAAAAAAAUAGAUACAUACAAGUAUUUGUAUUCGUAUACUAAUUAUAAACAUGUUAAGCUACUCCACACGCGUCUAUAUUUCAAUAUACACAACAAGCAUGUCACUACAUUUCCCUAUGCUUAAAAAGGUCUCUCAUACAGUUAUACUCCUCUGCUGUAAUAUGUAUAUCACGAAACAGAUACAUACAUUUUCACCCCUCACCAUUUUAAUGUAGCAGUGCGAUGCACGGACGUAUCAGAAUCAGUAUCUGAUUGGUAACAAACCAAAGAACAUGUACUUACGCUGUAAAAAGAUUUACAGCAAAUGCAAAAUUAUAAGCAGUUCGAAGAAGAAGAAGAAGAGAUUGAAACAAUUCCAGUUUUUAAAAAAGUUUUCACCUGACAAAUUCGGACUAGCUGGGAGUAGGCGACGACUCGUGCUUUCAUAAUGAUCUCUCCAACCCUAACCGUGCGAUAUCUCGUGAGAUUGAGCGCAAUGCACAUUCUCAUUCCCGCAGAACCAAAACCAACCAAUUCCCCCCUCCCCCCACCACCCUACAAAACGAAAAACAACCGUCUCAGCAGUUGAGACCGGGAACUCGAUCUGAUCACCUGCAAGCAAACCAAAAGGAACGAUCGUCGUCACGACUUCAUUAAUUUGUGUAAAGCAAUCCGAGAAUUCGAAGAGAUUCGGAGCGAGAGAGGGAGAGUCGAAGCUCACAGAAUGACGCGGAAGAAGACCACCAAGCGGUUGCUCCCGAACAGCCACACCCACGGCAUGUUGUCGUUUAAAACUUCUCUGCUGCUGCUGCUGCUGCUGCUGCUGCUUCUUCUUCUUCUUCUUCAAACCCUGUAAUUUGAUUGAUCGAUCUGAGUAAGAAGAAGAAUCGCGUGAAUUUAAGAUGAAAGGAUAUUUGAAUUGUUUAGAGAGAGAGACCCUGCGAAAAUUCGAGUCUCCAAAUCCUGGUAAACAGAGGAAGAAGAAGAGGAGGAGGAGGAGGAGGAGGUAGUAGUCGAGAGUGGCGUGGGAUUUUAAAGCCCUUCAGAGGGUAUAAAAAGAGAGAGUUUCCUCUUUUUGUUUUAAUUUUUUUUAAUAAAAAAUAAAAAAAUAAAUUUUUUUUAAAAAAAAAAAAUUAUGUUUGUUGGGGUGUUUUUUUUUUUUGAAAAAAAAGAAAAAAAGGGGACGAUGGAGGGAGAUAAUGAAUGAGGGCGUGGGGGCGAAUGGAUGAGUUUUGGGUGCGCGUGCCCUUCCUCCCCCAGUCCCCCCUCUCUCUCUCUUCUUUUCUCUUCGGGCGCUUGUCGUGUGCGUAUGCAUAUGAGACGAGAUGAUAUGAUAUGUUUCUCUGCACGAGCGGGAUGGAAGAAGGCCUCGGCGCCGUCCGAUCUGGCGCCUCGGAGGGCGAGCCCGAGAUCACCGCCCGGUCGGGGAUUGGAGGACAGCCGUCGGAUCGAGGGCGCGCGCGUGACCGCGGAUUCGCUUCCUCUUCCUCCCUCUCUCUCUCCCCCCUUCCCUUCCCUUCAUCCUUCUGUGGGGCCCGCGUGAUUCGGGGGACGUCGUGAUCGCUGUCUGAUAUUUUGCUGCUGUCGGAGAGAGAGAGAGAGAAGAGAAGAAGAGGAAGGAGAGAGGGGCGGGGUGCUGACUGCAUGCACCGCUGCCCGUGCACCGGAUCUAUUACUCUCCUUAUCUCAUCUGCAGGCAGCAAUUCUAUUCCACAUACAUAUCUCAUAAAAAAAAAAUAUUUAAAAUUUUAUAAUUUGAACCUGUUGAUAGAGACUGAACUAUAAUAUAUAUAUAUAAAAUUCGAUUACUAUACCUUUAUAAGUAUAUACCAUUUUAUAUUCAUAAAUUUUCGACCGUUAAAUUUAAACCUUUUAACUAUUUUUAUCCGUUGGAUCAUACUAUUCAACCACCUACCUAUUUAACUUUAAGAACUACUAGCAACCUAAUCGGAACACUUCACUAAAAACUUGCUCAAAAUAUUUUUAAUAAAAUUCAAAAUUUUAUUUUCUUUCGAUGCAAAGCAUAGCUGUAAUUUAUUUUUAUUCUAUGGAAUGUUUUAGUUUUAUUAAAUAUAAAUAUGAGAAGACAACAGAAGCAGCAGAGGCGGGAGGGGCCAGCUAGCCGAACAAACAAAAACAAGGAGGGUGGGAGUGCAUGCAUUGCAUUGCAUUGCAUUGCAUGAUAAUAAUAAUUGAAAUGGAUGGGAGGGGAGGGGGGAGAGGGCAGAGGGGGGUGGAGGGGCCAUGAUCGUAGUCAUUAUAUCAUCCUCGCGUCGGGCGCAUAAAGGAGGGGGGGUGAGGUGGACCACACCGACACCGGGAGGAGAGCUGGGUGUGAUACGGUUGGGUGGAAAUACGGAGUGGACAGCCAGCCCCAGGCAGGCGACGCCGCGCGGCCGCAUACCUCCCCCUCUCUCUCUCUCUCUCCCAUCCAUCCCCCCACCCCGUUUUUGUGGGGCGCCUUUUUUUAUUUUUAUUUUUAUUUUUUUUUGCCAUUUUUGUCCUUCUUGUCUUGAAAAAAUUUCCGAACUAUGCCUCGCGAACUUCUCUUCUCAUUACGAUCGAACUUCUUUUAGCUUUUUUUUUUUUGUCGUAAAAUUUUCAGGUAAAAAGAUACAUCAAAUCUCACAUAAUUCAUGCUAAGUUUGUAGUAGCUAUAAAUAUAAUUUUGUUUGGCGGGAUAUAAUUAAUUUGUAUAGUUGUAUAUAGCUAAAAAUUAUAUUUAUAAAAUUUUAUCACUUAUAUAUGAAAUGGUGAUAUUAUUUUCACCGCUUAUUUUUUAUUUUAAGUUGCUAGAUCUUUUCAAUUGAUGUACUUAUGAUCGUGAUCAAAUUGGAUAUAAGUUUCAAUCAUUAUAGUUGAAGUUGAAUUCAAAUGCAUCAAUUCGGACAUCAAAUUAAAUUUAUGUAUAGUUAUAACUCAAUGCGCGCAACCAAAUAAUAAACUCAUGUAGGACUGACCGUCCGUAGAGCAAGCGGCAAAGAGUUUGAUGGUUGGUACGUACCCGAGGUUCCAAGUUCGAAUCCUAGUUGAUUCACAUUUUCAGCUAAAUUUAUUUCUUAAUGAAAUAAACGAAGUAGGUAGCGUGCUAUCUAUCUCUCAAAAAAAAAGAAAAAAAAAAUCAUGUAGGUAAUCGGCACCAAAAAAGUGGGUUAUGGUGCUUCUGUAAUUACAGUUUGCAUUACAACUUUAUUAUAGCAUUAGAGUAGUAAGCUGUUGAUACUUGUGAAAUCACCAAAACGGAUGCAUUUAGUCUUUAUCAAUCUAGGCCAAGAUAGAAUUUGUGGAAUAAAAAAUGCGACUUUCCGUAACAACUAGUAAAGACGGCUUAGUAGAAACAAAUGAUCCAUUCAUAUUAGCAAAGUUGCAUUACUAGGGACAAAUAAAGUUGAUUAAACUUUAAUUUCAGUCGACAGUGAGAAGAUCCAAUAAACUUAUCUAUCAAUUUUGAGGGUAACAAAAAUAAAAAAAAAAAGAAAAGAAAAAAAGAAUGAGAGGGAUAUCUUAUUAACGAACGAACAAUUUGAGCAAGUGUGGGGGUAGUUUGAGAUAUUUUAUUAAAGAAUGGGGGACAAAAAGGGAACGGGAAAAAUAGAAUUCGAAAAAGUCCCGUUUGUGGUUAAAAACCGACCGCCACCAUUGAUGAGCCCGUGCGAUGGGGUCAUCAUCAUGUUCAUGCCUUUUUAUUUCGAUUUCGAUUUGAUCUCGAUUCCAUUCCAGCUCCGAGCUGUUGCUUUUUAUUCCCCCAUGGAUAGAUCCUCUCUUCGAUUCUUUGGAUACGAGGAUAUCUAUUCCAUUUCCAUCUUGGUAUAAGCCCCAAAAAAAGGAAAAAGAAAAAAGAAAAAGGAAAAGAAAAGAAAAAUUUUGAACGAAAAUAUAAUAAAAAGAAAAUAUUCAAAAAGCUGGUUGGGCAGCUCCCAGAAUCAUAAUUUGGAAUGAUGUGAAACGUGAAGCAAUUUUACCUCUUCCCACCGCUUCUUAGCUGGCUUAGUAGUAAUUACUACCUCUUCGGCCUCGCAUGUAUCCAUAAAGGUUUGGUUUUGAUGUCGCAAGCAGCGGAUACAAGCUUUUCAGUUUUCCUAUAUUUUGUGGCAUAAAUAAAUAAAUAAAUGAGCCGAUUGUUAGCGAGAUGAUCUAAGGACCCGUUUACGUCAAAAGAGAUCUUGAAAGCGAAGCGCGAGUUCGAGUUUUUAGAAACUAACUCGGCCCAAAUCAAACAGAAACUUCAACUUUGAGUAUGUAUUUAUUUCGCGGCGAAUGAGUUGGGUUUGAGCGAGUUGAGCUAAGUUAUUUGAGUGGUUCAAAGUUGCUUAAAACAUUCGACUGAGUUCGACUAAGAAGCUUUUGGAUUUCAAAACAGAAACUCCAAUAGAGAACUUGUGUAGUUCUGUUACAUUUAUGGAGGCAUUGAGUUGUUCGACUAAGAAGCUUUUGGAUUUCAAACCAGAAACUCUAAUAGAGAACUUCUGUAGUUCUGUUGCAUUUAUAGAGGCAUUAACGACCUAAGCUAAGCUCAGCUUGGCUCGAAAUUGAUCGAAGGCCUAUCUCGCGCUUGAUUUAAGUUGAGCUGGAAUAAGUUUGUGGAAACUCGAGCUCUGAUGGUUAGGUCAAUAAGGGAGGAGGGGAGCUCAUUUCAUGCACAAGCAUAAAAGUACAUAGAAUUAGAAAUACAUAAUUGUAUUCACCAGCAAACAUUUGCAUUGGGUGACUGAUUCACGGUUGACAAGGAAGAUUGUUGUGAAUUUAUAUGAACUUAUAUGUCGGAAGAAAUAAUAACUAGAGUAAAUUAAUUGACAGAUAAUAUCCACAUACCAAAUACGUUCUCGACGCGAUCCAUGUAAAGAAAAAGGGGUUGGUUGGAGAAGAUCAAAGAAAGAACUUGUUCUUCUUCCGUAAAAAAUUCUUCUAAUAAUACCAAACCUAAUCUCUGCAAAUAAAGCAUGCCGUACUCUUAUGUUUACGAGCUAAAGUUGACUAACUACAGGUCGCGACGCACAAGCCCCGUAUGGUCUGUGAGGCGAGGUCACAAGUUUCAGAACGAUCUUAGCUUGUGAAUUCACCUCCCCUCCACACAUGUUGAGAUCUGUGUACAGCCCGAGGUCUGCGGUUUGUCGUGGUCAUGGGCUUAAGGGAUUGGAUUGAGGAUCAAAGUUUGUCAGAUGCAGUUUUCCCUGAAGUUUGGAGUUGAUCAAGUAGUUCAUUUGUAGACACUCCACAAGUUUCCAGUCUAGAGUGAAGGACCACGCCGAGGGAAAAAGCAGCAGCAGCAGGAGAAGGAAAAGAAAAAAAAAAAAAGGUCUAAAUUUUGAUUGAUAGAGCAAUGAAGGGAAGAAAAUCAACUCCAGAGUGCUCAAAAUUUUGGGAUUAUCUAGAAUUCCGAAUUUCUUCAAGGAUGAUAUACUGUCAACAGUCUUACUGGAAAGGUUAUUAAAUGACUGCAUGAGAUUUUGAGUGACGAAAAAGGAAGUUUGAAGUGUAUUGAGAAAUUUAACAGCAAGAUUUGUAUGAUAUUGAACUAUAAUUUGCAUUCUAAAAGUGGGAGAAUGUUGGGAAAAGGGUUUCAAUUUCACAGCCCUAUCAGGGUUUAUUUUUCAGCCAUGGAAAAGAGCAGGUAUCUGAAAGAAUAUAAAAAGCUUUAAUCCGAAAUGUGCACAAUUCACGAGAUUGGGCAUACAACAACUGUGGCCUGCUUGGAGAUAGUUUAACUGAAAUACUGUAGUAUCAAAAAGCUGUAGUGACUAGUGCUCACAAGAGAAAUCCAUGGAGUUAUCGAUACAAAUAUAUGACAUGAUUGACGCUAAAUCCUAAGAAAGAAAAGAAUGGAUUUUCAACAGAACAAGCAGUAAAUGCCAACUGAACCAAACAUUGUCCUCACAUUCUGUAUACGAGAAUUUAGUAACUAGAAUUGCCUAUACAGUGUACAAUUACAAGAUCCGUCGUACACUCCCCGACAAAGAAAGAUACCUAUUAACAAAGGAAUGGAAGGAAGAAAGAAAAAGAAGACAAUUUAAAUUUUAUAUAGGACUUCCUCUAUUACUCAAGCAACUAGAUGUCUUAAAGAAUUUUCAAUACCCGAAUUUAGCUAAGACAACAAAUUGGAUAGAACUUAACCAAAGUACUCAUACUUAUUAACAUUGACAACAUCUUAAUAACAAUCAGGUCAUGUUUGGAUGUGGAAUAAGAUUCCGACGAAAACUUAUUCAGUAUAAAGAUGUCCCUGUGUAAUUGUUUGAUUUUUACUCAUUGAAAGGUCUUGACAUACAUGCUUUUGGAAAAUAGCAUAUUUCACUUACAGGUGAUUUAUCUUAUUCUGAAUAAAUGAUUGGAAGGCCAAAUAUGGUAUCCAUUGUUAAGAGUUGAUUACACUCAUCUACCAAAUUCUACAUGCUUCUUGAGUAAAUCAAAAGGAUAUACCGAAUAAGAUGCUCGUUCAUCCAAACAAAUAUCCAUCGUGAUAACUAUCUCAUUAUGCAUCUCCAAUCAAAUACCCAAGCCAAAUAAUUUUGUAACAAUCAAACAUAUAGAGUAAAUCAGACAUUUACAUGAUCGAACUUAAAACAGUCUCUUCCCGGAGAGGAGCUUUAUACAAGAUGAACAAAGAUACAAUUUGAUCUGACUGGUCUGCUAUUUAACAAAAUAAUCACCUGUCAUUUGUUUAUAUGAUGAAAAUAAUGCCAUUCUUUUUCCUUUUGAUUUUCAUAAAUGAAUCAUACUUCCUAAUCCCCUUUAUGGUGGGACAAGUGGUAUAGGGAUAUGCAGCCACUUGUUGAGUUGAUGUAUGGCAGCUUGGAGAUGAUGCAAUGAGAUAGAUAAUGAGUCAGUUCAAGAGAACGAUAGAACAGGAAAAGGAUGACAAAGAAAGUUGAAGUCAGAGAGAUGGUCAUGGUACAGAGGGUUGGACAGUGGAUUGAUUCAAUUGUAGUACUUACACUUUGAAUAGCAAGCCCUUCCAAAACCGAAGGAAGGAAAUAACUUCUACUAGGGGCCUGUUUAGAUACUGGAAAUAACUCAUGAAGCAUAUAAGAACUAGAUGAAGAAAACAUCACAAUAGUGUGCCAAAAGAGAGAAAAGGGCCAAACUUCGACAUUCAAACUUCUAAUGACAUCUCCACCUAAUUCUUUUCUCUGGACCUUGUUCAAUCAAGAGAUCCUCUUCACUCUGAUGUACCAAAAGAGCCGCAUUUGCCAUGAUUAUAUCAUAGUAAUAGAGCAUGCUCCAAAUAUGCUAACCAUCUAAAAUGUUAAUUACCACAGAGCACUACAACAGAGAAAACACAGUGAAAGAAAGAAAGGCGACAAAUCUUCCGCACUAACAGAGUUCUCUUCUUAAAAAACAAAUCUUCAGUAAUUUGAGGAUCAUUAAGAUCCAUUCAAGCAAGAAUACAUAUUCAACCAACUACUUUAGGGUCUAAUAAUUCUGAUAAUACUUUAGUCCAAAAGAAAGCGAAGAUUCCGCAAUUCUAAUGAAAGCUAAAUGCAAAGUGAUUCUUUUUUUUCAUUGUUCGGGAAUGCGAGCUCACCAGAGGUAUCCGGGGACCUUGAUGCGGAUGAAGAGCAUGGCCAUGACGUAGGCGAAGGCGACGGCGGCGACGCCGAAGGAGGCGAAGGAGAGGCGGACGCUGCGGGCGCGGUUGCGGUCGAGGGCGAGGUCCAUGAGGAUGAGGCCGAGGCCGCCGAGGAGGAACAUGAAGCCGGAGGAGAGGCCCUCGAUGAUGUACUGGCCGUUGACGCGCCCGGGGAGGAAGACGACGGGGCGGACGGCGCCGGUGAAGCGGUCCUGCGUGCUGCCGAUGCCGGGGGGCUCGACGAUCACGUCGUAGACGAGGCCGGAUACCACGGCGAAGUAGGUGAGGAGGACGAAGGAGAGCACGGCGGCGGAGGAGGGGAGGGAGAGGGACGAGGGGAGCUUGAGGCGGGUGCGCGGGGCGCGCAGGAGGGAGUAGGGCAGCACGCGGAGGACGUGGAGGAUCGGGUCCAAGGAGUCCAGAUCGGAGGCGGCGGCGGACGCCCCAGCGCCGGCGCCGGCGCCGGCGCCUGCGACGGAGGAGGAGGAGUGAUCGGGUCGGUGCCGCAUCGAUGCAAAAUGGGUUGUGCGCUACUGAUGCGCCUUGCGGAUCUGUUAAUUAGGGUUGGAACUUGGAACUACAAUGCUGUAGACUACCGCGUAGAGCAGUAGCCCUGACCUCACCCCGAAAAUUUACGGAUGGAUCGAGGGUUUAAGUCCGAGUUUGGUCCAAAAUGGUCGAGCUAGGGCAGGUCAGUUCUGGAUGAAACGGAAAAAAGAAAAGAAAAGAAAAGAAAAGAAGGGCAAGGGCCUAUAUUUGUUUCCAUGAAUCUCAGUGGUUAGAACUCACAACUUCAAGAAAGUAGUAGGCGCAUCAGGCAAUAGGCAUUAAAGGCGAGAUCGGCUGAAUUUUCACUCACAAUUAUUUAGAGAUCGAUUUUUUGACUCAAGUGUGGUGAAAUUCGAAGUGGAGUUCGCGAAACUUAUAAGUUAUUUGCGCCCCAACUUUCAGCUUUCAAACAGGCCACCAGAUGAGGUAUGAUUAGAAUUUUUUAUGAGCUUUAUUUUGGAGGCCUGCCCUAGCCCAAUGAACCAGAUCGGUACAAUUAGAGGCACAAAAAGUUAGAUCAGGUCCAGUUCGAUUGCACUACAUCUCUUAUUAAUAACCAACAAUCAAUCGGCCACUAGAGAUGCAAUUUCUUAUUAAAAAAGCUUAUUAGCCACUUUAAUCACAAAACAAAAGAUAUUAUCGAUACAUCUUGGAUUGAAAUUUUACAAGCCUAAUAACAAGUUUCUUCAAGUUGGUGUAGAAUGAUUUGAGCGCCAUGCUGUGGCUGCAUUGUUAGAACGGUGUAGGGAGCAUGAGCAUAUGUAGGUGAGAGUUCAAAAGAGAAAUGCUGCAGAAUAGUGGCCAAAGCCAUUUUUGCUUCUAUCAAAGCAAAGCUCUGUCCCAAGCAGAUCCUCGGACCCCAUCCGAACGGAAAGAAAGCGUUCGGAACUUUUGAUGCCUUCGAAAUCCCUUCUGAAAAUCUCUCCGGGUUGAACUCUUCAGCAUCCUCCCCCCAAAAUUCACGAUCGUGAUGAACAAGAAUCGCCGACAGCAAAAGAUCGACGCCAGCAGGAAAGAUGAACUCUCCUAAUUUAGUGCUCUUAACCGUAGUACGAAGCAAAGAGACCCCCGGAGGAUAUAACCUUAGAACCUCAUAAAGUAGCAUAGUAACCUGCAUGAUACAGAAAAAAGUUGGAUAAUGUUUAGCAAUGAACAAAGAGGAAAAUUUCGUCGAAAUGAAAGCGUUUUUUCUUACGAUCUUAAGGUGGCUAAUGGACUCAAAAUCAGGUUUGUUUCUCCCACAAACUGCAAUAACUUCUUCCCUCGCUCUCCGCUGCCACAUUGGAUGAUUGGCUAAGAGAACCAAAGUCCAUGUGAGCCACACAGAGGUGGUCUCUUGGCCGGCAAAGUAGAAUAGCUUGCACUCAUGUAUUACAUCCUCUAUUGAGAUACUGUAGCCCUCGGCAUUGUUCACACUACUUAGCUGCAACAGCAAGCCUAGCAAGUCAUCGCCGACGGAUUCUUCUCUUCUCAUCAUACUCAACUUUUUAUCGAUCAUUUCUCUUAGCAUGCCGUUGACUUGUUUGUUUAUGUACUUUCGCCUCCUGUUCUUUGCUGUUGGCAGAAACCUGAAGCGAAGACAUUCAAGAGAUGAAACAGAACCGAUAUCUAUCCUUUCAAUCAGAGUUGAAUUGAUCAUCAAAACAAUUAGACCAACAAUUACGAUACAUUUUCACAAAAUGAAACUUUUCUGAAGCUUUGAAUCAACCAUUCAUUCUAAAAUUGCUUAAUAACCGAAAUAUCCCGAUUGGUUCGACUUCUCUACUUAUGGAAUAGGAUAUUACGGUAUCUUAUGGAUAGAAUCAGAAUUGAAAGAUAAUAUCGAAUACGAAUGGGCUGAUCAUAAGUACCUGAAGCCGGGAAUAUAAGGAGUCCGCGCAGCUUCGAGUGCUAGCACGGCUUGCUCUUUUUGCAGUUCGAAUAUCUUCUUUCCCUCCUGAUAGCUGCUUCCGAAGGCAGUUCGAGAGAUGACAUCACCGGUAAGAUUCUGCAACUCGGGCCAGACAUCUAUCUCACAAGAUCCGUUGGAUUUGCUCACCAAGUCCUGCCACUUCUUGACCAUGUCAAUGCAACUGGUCAGGAAGGCCGGAAUCAUCCCCUGAAAUUGAAGAAACGGAACACAUGUUCAAUGAGAAUUAAGUACUGGAAGGAUCUUAUGUGUGGGACACUGUCCUGCGGUGUAAGAACUAGUUCUAUUAUGAGAAUCAGUUAUAUACUCAUAUUAGAUUAUAUAGAGCAGUGCAUAUUAGAUUAUGAAUUAGAGUUGUAAUUGUUGGCUUAAAUGGGUCAGAAUCCAGGUAUGUGGCGGGAGGUCAAGUGAGUCGAAUCACGUUCGAAAUGACGUGAAACUGGGUUGAGCCGAGUUAUAUUCAAAGGGGCGUAAGGCUGAGUGGGUCGGGUCAUAAUUGAGACCCGUGAGCGUUGUAUCUAUACGCUUUAAAUAAAUUGAUUGUAUAUUUCUAACAGCUUGAGUUUUUAAAAUUAACGAUUAGUGCCAACGAUUCGAUAGUAAUAGCACCUUUAAUUUCUCAAGAUGAAAAGCCGGGACAAUGGCCCUCCGCCGCAUAGCCCAUUCCUCUCCUUCAAGAACCGCCACCCCCGAUGCAAGAAGCUGGACGAGAGGGUUCACUGGCGGUUUCUGAAUCUGCCCCAGCUUGUCCGUCAGCACCUCCCUUAUCAUCUCUGGUUCGCAUAUGAUCACCCUCGGAGUCAUCCCGACCCACAUAGUGCUCAUUUUCCCUGCCAUUGCGAGGAUACAUCAUUCAUCGCAGCAGAGAUCAGUCAAUUGAACAGCUAAUUAGACAGAGUAUGCAUGCAUGUUUGGCUCUGAUCCAGACCUGCGGACUGUUGUUCGUGUUAUGACAAACGCACAAAUAAAAACGAAAAAUAGACAAACCAUAAGUAGAAAAUAAAAAAACACACAAAUUUAAGUGAAAAUCUUUUGCGGAUAAAAACUACGGACGAAUUCACUGUCGGUGUCGAAUGAAAGAAAAAAAACAAAGUACAGAGUACAAACAUCAUCUGUCGCCUCUAAGGGAAAAUAAUAAAGAAAAUCCGAGUUCUCCACUACACAGAUAUUCAUUUUUCUUUUACAAUACAUUUCCAAAUUAAUCGUACAGCAAAAACCGUCGACAAGUCGGAGUCCCAAAAUUGAAGUCGAUUACCAAUUUCGAAACACAUCUAACAAUUUGCAUAUAGCAGCAGUAGAAGCAGAUGCUGCAAAUUAAAACCUGUUCUCUUGGCUGAAAUUCAGUUCAGCUUCGCGCUUCAGCGGGAGUUUGAGAGCAUAAUCAAUAAACCAAAUAUUGAUUGAUGCAGUUUAAAAAAUAAGGUAAGUACUUGUUUGGGUUCGCUUUUAAUUUCAGAGGUCGUUAGAUCAUGUAUACCACAGGAGUCUGAUAAAGGAAAUCACACCGUAUUUCUGGACCGUUUGAUAGAUGAACGGCACGGCACGCGGCACGAUCUGGUGGGUCAGAUCGAUGGGCUUGGACCACGCUUCCUUGAUGGUCUCUAUCUCGUCCUUCACGUCCCCGUGAAGUAGCCGGUAAGGGUUGCCGCUGAUGCCCUGGCGCCGUAGCUGCUUCUCCAGCGUCUUCGGCUUCCACCACAGGGAGUAGAAGAUCCUCCAACUGCAGUACAGCAGCAGCGGGAGAGAUAGUGCAUAGAGCACGAGAAACGAAAGUUGCUCCAUUAGUUGUUAAUGCUCCUUAAUUAGCUAACACUUGUGGAGUUGGGUGGAAUGAGUGGCGCUAUUUAAACUAAACGUAUCCGAUGUUUUCUCCACUGACUUCAAUCUGGGAGUCAGAAAAAGUUGUCACAUCACCAGAGAUUGUGGACGGAUUUUGUUUCGUGGAGAGCAGGCUAUGUGACAAGGGAGCAGAAUCUAACCACUUAUUAUUGCACACCUUGACGUGAGAUGUGACAUCCGGCGACUCCUUAAUAUGAAUUAAAAUAAAGGCCGGCAAGUCCGUCACGGCUCUCAAUUAGGCCACGUGUAGCUGGCCCAUAACAUGAAAUAAUAAUAAUAAAUUCUAUAGUACAACAGUUCUAUUUCUCCAAUUAAUUAAAUUACUUUUUUAAAACUCUUCCUUUCCAAUACGAUUUUUUAAAAAAAUAUUUUUAUUAUUAUUAUACGUUUUUUUUUUAAAUUAAGAAAUAUAAUUAGAUGGAUAUAGAUAAUAUAAUGUGACUGCUGUAUAGUAGACUUCCUUCAUGACAUGGCACGAUAAGGUUUAUACUGAGCAACACGCUGGGUUAAUUUUUUUGUUUAGUUUUAAAAGUUUUUUAUUUUUCUUAUUGCAAAUAUAAUUUAAAGUAUUCAAAUUUCAAAUAUUUUUAAUCGAAGAAACUUUUUUUAUAUAUAUUUAUACAUAAUAAAACAAAAUUUAAAAAAGAUUUUAAAAAUAAAAUUAAAAGAAUUUCAAAGAAAAUUAAUAGCAAGCUAGUAACUGUUUCAAGUCAAAAUUAUCAAUCCCCAUAAGAUUAACUUGAUUUGUUUUUCCUCUGACUUACACCAUCUUUGUUCUUUAGCCAUUGCUUCAAGCCAACUAUGUGAGUUGUAACUAUGCAUUAAUUAAGUUACAUUAAAUCUCCAAGAAUUGAACACCGUGAGCACCAGUACAUAAGCGCGAUCUCACCGAAGUGGCGCGUAACCACAAUUCAAGCACAGUGGCAAGCGAUCUCGCAUGUUUUUUUUUUUUUUUUUUUUUUUUUUUUUUUUUUUUNUUUCUUAUGGGUACUAUGGCAUAUGAAUGUGCUGAUCAUAAUUAAGUACCUAAAGCCGGGAAUAUAAGGAGACCGCAGAGCUUCGAGUGCUAGCACGGCUUGCUCUUUUUGCAGUUCGAAUAUCUUCUUUCCUUCCUGAUAGCUGCUUCCGAAGGCAGUUCGAGAGAUGACAUCACCGGUCAGAUUCUGCAACUCGGGCCAGACAUCUAUCUCACAAGAUCCGUUGGAUUUGCUCACCAAGUCCUGCCACUUCUUGACCAUGUCAAUGCAACUGGUUAGGAAAGCCGGAAUCAUCCCCUGUAAUCAAAGAAACGGAGCGCAUGUUCAAUGAGAAUUAAGCAUUGGAAGGAUUCUUGUAUGAGAUUAGAUGCACUAUAGAGUGUGGGGAUGCUGUACUGUGGUGUAAGAACUAGUUUCUAUUAUAAGGAUCAGUUAUAUACUCGUAUUAGAUUACAGAGAGCAGUGUAUAUUAGAGUAUGAAUUAGAGUUGUAAUAGCACCUUUAAUUUCUCAAGAUGAAAAGCCGGGAUAAUGGCCCUCCGCCGCGUAGCCCAUUCCUCUCCUUCGAGAGCCACCACCCCCAUCGCAAGAAGCUGGACAAGAGGGUUCACCGGCGGUUUCUGAAUCUGCCCCAGCUUGUCCGUCAGCACCUCCCUUAUCAUCUCCGGCUCGCAUAUGAUCACUCUCGGAGUCAUCCCGACCCACACAAUGCUCGUUUUCCCUGUGAUUGUGAGGAUACAUCAUUCAUCGCAUCAGAGAUCAGUCAAUUGAACGGCAGAUUUAGACAGAGUAUGCAUGCAUGUUUGGCUCUCCGGACAUGCAGACUAUUGUUUGAGUAUAGCAGCAGUAGAAGCAGUUGCUACAAAUUAAAACCACUUUUUUCAGCUGAAAUUUAUUUUAGCUUCACACUUCAGCAGAAGUUUGAGAGCACAAUGUUGAAGAUAUACAUUCUUUUUUUAUUGGUUUGAUCCAUGCACCGGAUCUACAGAAUAUAUCAAUAGAUCUUGAGGUUAAUGGUUAUUGGUGGAGUCCAAGAGAAGAUUUAGUUAGAUUUUAAUUUGGCCCUAUUGUAAUCCGGAUGGAUUGAAUUAGAAUCCCUAGUCUGACUUGUUGACCGGCUAAUGCAUUAUAUAACCAUGCAUGGUAGGGUCGUAUGGGAUAUAGAGAGACUUAUUAAUUAAUUUGUGGUGGCAAGUUCUCUUGAGUCUGUACGACGUCGAGAGAAGAGAAGGUGCUUGGCAGCAUCGCAUGCAACGGAAUUGAAGUCGGUGGCGGAGUAGCGGUUCUCGACCAAUUAUUUGAACGGUUCGAAAAUUUUAAAGAAACGACAUAAAGGAUUUUAGUCAGAACUUUUUUAUAUUCUCUAAUUUGGUCUUCUUGAUUUUUACGAAAAAAAAAAUCAAUAUUUUUUUAGAAUUUUCGUUGAAAUAAGAGACUAUAGAGCUCUUAAUUUUUUAUCGGAGAAGAUAUAAAGUGUAAGCUUAUAUUUCUGCUUCUUCGUAUAGUAAAAUAUAUUUCUCUUGCUGUUUCUGUGGACGUAGGUAAUUAUCGAAUCACGUAAAUAUUAACUUAUUUUUUAUAUUUAUUUUUUUUUAUCAUUCGUUCGACUUUUUUUAAUUUUUUUCGUACAUCUUUAUUGGUAGUGCAUGAUGAACGAUCCAUCCGGUUCCCAACACACAAUCAAUAAAUCAAAAAUUGAUGCAGUUUAAAAUAUAAGCUAAGUUUUUGUUUGGCUUCUCUUUUAAUUUUCCUUUUAGCACUUUAUAUAUCUCUAGCUUAAUAUUUGGCAAGCAAAAAAGCUUGAAACUUUCACUGCAUAAAAGAUUGAGCCGUAAUGACAAGCCUUUUAUUACGGGAGAGGAUGCCACGUGAACUACUAAAUAUUUUGACAAAACCAUAUAAAGGAAUCAAAGGUGGCAAGAUCAUGUAUACCACAGGAGACUGAAUCAUACCGUAUUUCUGGACCGUUUGAUAGAUAAACGGCGCGACACGUGGCACGAUCUGGUGGGUCAGAUUGAUGGGCUUGGACCACGCUUCUUUGAUGGCCCCUAUCUCUUCUUUCACAUCCCCGUAGAGGAGCCUGUAAGGGUUGCCGCUGAUGCCCUGGCGCCGUAGCUGCUUCUCCAGCGCCUUCGGCUUCCACCACAGGGAGUAGAAGAUCCUCCAACUGCAGUACAGCAGCAGCGGGAGAGAUAGUGCAUAGAGCACGAGAAAUGAAAGCUGCUCCAUUAGUUAAUGAUCGAUCCUUAAUUAGUAAUUAGCUAACACAACUGGCGUUGGGCGGAAUGAAUGGGUGCUAUUUAAACUAAACGUAUCCGAUGUUUUCUUCACUGACAUCGAUCUGGGAGUCAGAAAAAGUUGUCACGUUAGCCGUCAUUAUGGAAGGACUUUGUUUCGUGGAGAGCAAGGUAAGACGAAGACGUGUCACGAGUGGAGUAGUUAAGAGCCCAAACCAAUUACUCUAUCACUGGAUGUGAGAUGUGACAUCCGGGACUUUUUUCUUUUUAUGUUUUUUUGGGAAAGCGGUAGACUAGGGAGCGAGCCUACCUCGGCUCAAAUUCAGCUUCAAAUUAAUUUCGAGCAUAAUUUAAGCACAAGUUUGAAUUGAAAUUAAUUCGAGCCGAACUCGAGCGAGCCUAAUUUCAAGUCGAGCGAGCUCGAGCCCUAAACGAGCCGCUUGAAAUUUUCAACAUUAUACGAUAAAUAGUUUAAUUUGUAUAAAACAUUAUCUAUAAUUUGAUAUAAAAAUAUAUUUAAUAGUUCAAAGUACAAAAUAAUUAUAUGAAAUAUAGUAUUAUAAUAUGAAAAAAAAUAAUUUAUGAGUUGAAUAUCUAAUUUUUUCAGCUUCAUAUGUCUUUUCUUUCGCCUUCAAUCUCUAUAUUAUUCAUUUUCAUUUAUGCAGUAAAAAAUAAAUCAAUUAUAUAAAUAAAUAUUUGAUUAAACUAUCCAAUCAUAUAUAACUAAAAUUAAAAUUUUAUAUGAAUAAUAAUUUUUUAUUUUAAAAAUAUUAUGUAUAUUUUCUCAAGCAUACGAUUAAUAGUAAUGUAGGCAUAUGAUGUUACUUGGUAACUUAGAGGGCUACCGGUUUGGCCACUUAGGGUGAGAGACAGAAAAAAAGAAAGAGAAAAACAUAUUGAAAAUUUAGAGCUCUGUGAAAAAAGAAAGAAAAAAAGGAAAAAUAUAUAAAUUUAGUAAAAUUUUGCUCUUUUAUUUGCCUAUUGGGUUUGUUUUUAUGAGCCAACAACAUUGGCCCAAUUU